rnacentral:lncRNA from 1 species
GAUCUUCAACUUCUUGUCGAGUUUCAUAUUUCGUGUUUUAGAAUGAUUGAGUUUGUCGAAGAUUGAACUUUUUAUAAGUUUUCAAACUUUAUUAAAGGAUAAUUUAGUAAUUCACUUCACUCAGGGCGUCGUUUAAUUCAAAAAUUAGGGCGUCGUUUAGGGAUUCGGUUUAUAUUUAUAAUUUUAAAAGAGCUUGGUAUAUAUUACUUUGUAAAUUUUGCUUAAAUAAUUGGUUAAUUACUAGUUUACUACUUACUAGUAAAUAUUUUGACAUUUAUAUGUAUUAAGUGCAACAUAACGACCCUCCAAUAUGAAUAAUCCCGAUUAUUGAUGGAUCAACGGUGGUGAUAAACCCCAGAACCCCGCAAUUUGAUUGUAAAUGAACGAUAGAAGGCAGUUGCAUAAUGUAGUUUCGAUAAUGUGCAACUUUCUAUUGCAUAAUGCCAUUGUCCCAAAACAGAAGAAAUACUCUGAACACAUUCUUGACAGAAGAAUUACUUCAACAAAGGUUCCAACUAAGCCUCUUCUUCCAAUGUUUCAUCCUGCAUUUCCAGUGAAUGAGAACUGAACUGCCCUCUUCGACAGAAGAACUCAGUUCAGGAGAAAACCGAAAAAGUACGCAUCUACGAGCAAGGAACCUGCUGCCAUAUCGACGGAUUUUGAAGAAUCAUAGACAUUCAUACAUAAGCUACAACUACCAUUACUAAAAUGACAGGCUGGCUGGCUCUACUCAAGGAGCUUGUGGCAGGUACCUACUCCAACGGCAGCAGCAAGAUGCCAACCGGCGUGGAGAUAUGGAGUCUCCGGUAACAGAUCGUCUGCAAUGAAGAGAGCACCUCCAAUCAAGGAAGACAUCUUAUGCAUGGUAUGUACGGUCCUCAGCUCCGGAUUUUCCAGUGCUCUUUUGGCAAAUGCCACCUAUACAACAAGAGAGAAAAAGUGGGAAUCAUCAUCAAAAAACGAGAUAAGAAACUGGUGAGAGAGUAGAGGCCGGAGAAAGGGGCAUUUCCACACCUCCAUCAUUCCUGUGUGAAGUGCAGACACCAUCAGUGGUUGGAUAGGCAGUAAUGCAGCUGAUGCAGCCAUCAACAGCUUCGGAUGCUCGUCUCUCAAGGCUCUUGAUAAACACUGCGAAACGAGCGUAGUUUGGUCAGUAUACCGACUAGGCCAACUGAAUGAAGCUAGAAAACAAGAGAGAUCAAUCAAUCAGUUAUAUUACAUGUGCAUAGCUAGAUCACAGGAUCCUAACCGUUGUUAUCCUAUUCAAGUUACUACAUGCAUGCACAAGGAACACACGAGAACAUGCACAACAAGACAACGAUGAGCAAUCAGCACUAGAAACAAUGAUGAGUAAUCCGAGUCACAUUCAGUCUUCUAAGUUCUAAACUGAUAACCAAGGUUAUAUUAUCCAUCAUAUGGUCGUUCUUCGAUCUGCUUUGCGAAUAAAGAACCUAGUCCUGCAAGCAUAAUUCCCGGAAACGAAAAGCCUAGUAUGAUUGGAAAUUACCACAGUUGUAGCUGCUAUCAUUGCAUAGUCAAGCCACCUCAAGUACUUCCUCACUCUCCCCCUCGAUGAAUGGUACAAACUCGAUGCGACUCCAACCCCGAUUAACGAGUUAGCAUACAGUUUGGUGUUCAGAUCCUUUCUGCAUGUGUGCAGCAUAAAGCAUAAAAAUCAGACACAAAAGAUCAAACAAAAUCCUGUUUCAAGACGGCCAAAAUUUGAGAAAUUGAAGACCGGAUAUUUUUUUACCUAGGAGCCUGCACACCCAGAGCAACAAACGGAAGUGAUGUCAACACGUUCGCAACUGUUUCCGAUAAGUUUUCACCGUGAACGCAACACUUGAUAGGCCGCAGGCAUCCUGGUCUUUGCUCCCAUAAUUUCCUGGAAAAUAUAUAAGCCAAAUUCUCAACCCUCCAGCAACUAUAUCAAGACACACAAUGAAGCCAUUUUAUAUCCGAGCUUUUACCAGAACAUGGACGGCUGAUUGGCUGCAUAUUGAGUUGAGGUUUCACAGUGAGAUUGAGGGAAGGCUGCAUGUUGAGUAAUCACCUCAAGACGGAAAGGCGAUUGUGGUAUAACAUGAAUCCCAUGAACACAUUCCAAAGCUGUACUGGAAUUUGUAGUGUUCGUGGGACUCAUCAUAUGUCAAGUCUCUUUAUUUGCCAGCAGUUUCUUCUGGCACUAAGGUUUGGAAACAAAGGCAAGAUCCCGUCUGUAUAAAGCUCUAAUCCUGCACACAAAUACAGAAAACAAAACAUAAGUCUCUACAUAUAAAAAAAGCACUGUGUUGGGAGAAUUUGAUACUCAAAUCAUCAGCCAAGAGUAAAAAGGCACCAAUCAAACAGAUAAUCAAGCACAGCUGAAAUGGAUCCCCACAAAAUUGCCCAAUCUGUAACCCCAUUAAGCUUUUCUUCAGAACAAUUCAACCAAACCCAGAACAAGUCUCCCCCCUAAAUCAUCAACCAAACCCAGAACAAGUCUCCCCCCUAAAUCAUCAACCAAACCAAGAACAAGGUCCCCCCUAAAUCACCAACCAAAACUAAAAAGAACCAAUCGAAUCGAAAAUCAAGCCUCUCCAUGAAAGAUUACAACUUGGCAUUAAUCAAAAACACAAUAAUCUACAAGAUUACAACUUUCCAAGCCUCUCAGCUUAACUGGGAUCCCCAUGCAGCAAUUUUUCACGAGGCAUUUUCACAAGGCAUUGCAAAAAGUAGAGAGUAACAGAGACAGAAACCUAGAAAGCCCAGCUUGGCAAGAACCAAAAAGGGAGGAACUUUUUACCUGUGGAUGGAGGGAGGAGGAAGAAGGCUGUGGGGUUAUGAAUGGAGUUUGAUGAUCGAGUGGAAUUAUCGAUAAUGACGUUGGACGAGUGUUUGGGGAUCGAAGGAGAGCACAAAAGAAUAUGAGAAGGAGAUGCUAAAGGGUAAAGACUAGUAUCCGGGGAAUCUACCUUCUUCCUUCCUAAAUUGCAGAUUUUCCGCAGAGACGCAUAUUCCAACCUAACUAAAAUAACGUCUUCGGGUGAUUUUCUUGUCAACCGGACCGGUUGGUUGGAUCGGUCCGACCCUACUUAGUUGCAUCGUUCAUGUGAUUCAUGUUACUUGUGUCUAGAGUGGUGUACCUAAUCAUAUAUAAUUUGAUAUUGAAAUUCUGAAUUUUAAUGAUAUUUGAGAGGGCGUUGUUGAUUCUUUGUCCUUUUUUUUCAUUGAUGGAGCUAAUCGGAUUAGUAGUUGCACGAUUAUUUAUUACGGUUAUAUCUAUGUAUAAUCGCACUAUAAGAUUAUGGACAUUGAGUAGAACAAAGGGUUGGAUGGAAUAGUUAGGGAAUUAUAUUUUUUAUCUUUCUUUGGUGUGAGUUGAACAAUAUAUGCGGGGCACUUUGUGAGUUUACUGAGGUGUGUGCAUUACUCAGAUUUAUUGUUUAUAAAAUUCUUAACAAUAAUUUUUUUUGUGAAUAUUCAUUUGUUUCGCCUAAUGUUUGAUUGAUAUAAAGUGACACAUAAUUAAUUUGUUUUGUUACCAAUCACACUUACUGAAGAUCAAGAUUAUUAGUAUUUGUUGAUAGAAUGUUUUGCUUUUGCAUGAACAACUUAAAAAGUAAACCUCCUACAUCAAAUUUCUAAAUCGGAUCUCCGAUCCCAAUUAGUUGGGCUGAAACUUACUCAAACUUGAUUCGUUUAACCGAUCAGGUAUGAGGUCUUUAGUAAUUUAAAAUAAUAAGAGCCCAGUUCAAACAGGUUGAUUGCGCGCCAUACACGUGUACGCUCACAGAUUUGCCGCGAGUUUCGAUGUCGGUGUAAAAUUACCGGCUAUAAGAAAACUCGAAACUUUCCCCUCUCUCCGUCGCGAUAUCGAAAAUGAGGCUUUGCUCUCGGAGAAAUCCGAGUCCGAUCUCUCCGAACGGUCUGCGAAGCCAGUGAUUAUCUCCGGCGCCGAUCGAGCGUGGCUUAAUAUCUACUGUGGUCAUCAACCGAUUAGGUUUUGUAUAACAUCGUGGCCAUCAACCAUACGUCGUCGUUUCUGUUCCUUUCUUUUCCCACAUUCCUUCUUCUUCUUCUUCUUCUUCUUCUUCUUCCAGUUCUCUUGGUUCCCGUGGUGGAUAAAUGGCUGUGAUGUUAAAUCUCUUUCUCUGUGGACGGUGGUGAGGAUCGAAUCGAGGUGUGACUGACGGCGGCUUGGCAGGGCGAUAUCGGGUUGACUGUUUUCGCAAGCCAUGGCUGUAGUAGUAUCCAGAUCUCCCCCCUCACUCCGUCGACGGCAUAAAUUGGGAUCUGAGCCUCCUGCAUUUUUUCAUCUCUAAUUGUAUCAACCUUCGGGGAUUCCUCAAUUGUUCUUUUCUGCAAUCGACAUUUCUCAAUUGAUUUUUCUGCAACCAAAAGGCCGAUGCUCUAGUGCAUAACGGUCCAAUGUUUGCAUAACCGAACUGGACUUGAACCGGGUCAACCAGAGAUCAAAUGAGCAAUAUGUUAAUCAAUUGGGUUUAACCCCUUGAUUAUAUACGAUAGCACGGUUUAACCCCAUGAGAUGUGACCAAAUUUCUUAGGUAUAUUCCCACUAAUAACAACCAUCAAAAAAUUUUAAAAAAUAUUUUUUAAAAUUUAUCAAAUAAUUUUUAAUUAUUUUUAAUAUCUAUAUUAANNNNNNNNNNNNNNNNNNNNNNNNNNNNNNNNNNNNNNNNNNNNNNNNNNNNNNNNNNNNNNNNNNNNNNNNNNNNNNNNNNNNNNNNNNNNNNNNNNNNNNNNNNNNNNNNNNNNNNNNNNNNNNNNNNNNNNNNNNNNNNNNNNNNNNNNNNNNNNNNNNNNNNNNNNNNNNNNNNNNNNNNNNNNNNNNNNNNNNNNNNNNNNNNNNNNNNNNNNNNNNNNNNNNNUAAUAAUUAAAAAUUGUUAAAAUAAUUUUUUUUAUUUUUAUUUAAUUAUUAUUUGACGUGUUUAAUAUGAUAAAAUCUCAAUUCUUUUAGUUUCUAUGUUGGAUAAACGGCUGUGGUGAGAUAUUUCUCUAUGUGGACGGUGGUGAGGGAUCGAGGUCUAACUGACGACGUUUUGGCAGGGCAAUUCAGGUUGACUAUUGGACGAGAAGUCUAUUAGAACUAGGUUGGAUAAUCUACGCCUGCUAUUGAGAAUGAUGCCACUUGCCACAAAUGCACAUGCUCUAUUGAGAUAAUUUAGAGAGGACAAGCUUUAGCAUUCUUUAACCAUCAAGUACGUGCAUUGCUAACGGGCCCGGGGUUGGGCUUUACCCUUUGUACAAUGAAUGAUUCAGGUGGGAAGUGGGGAGUGUGACUGUGGCCCACGCUAAAUCCAACAAAUCGAUGAUCCAUAGUGGGCCCAUUCUAAAGCGAAGGCCCAGGGCCUCAAAUACGAAUGCUCUCACGUCGCUAUCUACUCAUAUUUCUACUCUAUUUUUUUACCGUUUGGAGUUGGCGGAUGCUUAAUCUUUGAAUAUUCAAUUUUCUUUGAAUAUUAAAAUAGUUAAUUUUAUCCCCUUUGUAUGUUUGGUUGGUUAAGGACACAAAAUUGACAUUUGAUGGAUGUGUGUUACAUUAUACACUUCAAUGUCUUUUUCAUUUUACAAUAAUACAUUAAAAUUCUUUUAAAUAUUGCCCUAUAUUUAUAUACAGUUAAUUCAAAAGCAGUACAGAAUACUCAAAACAAAGAGUAAUUAUACGAUGUUCAAAAAGUAAGUUCUAAGUAAUUGAUAUUCGAAUGAAAUUAUGAAUUUAAUAUGCAAUUUUUCUUUGCAAAGCUAACCAAGUAAAUGAACAAGUUGUCUGCAUACCAUAUUGAAGUUAUACGAAANNNNNNNNNNNNNNNNNNNNNNNNNNNNNNNNNNNNNNNNNNNNNNNNNNNNNNNNNNNNNNNNNNNNNNNAAGAGAACCAAGUCCUCGUCAACUACCACAUUAGGAGUCCGAGUUGUUCCAUUGAAAGCAACUGCUGCUAUUGUAUUCCAACACUAAGAUAAUACCAAAAUUUUGAUUUUUACUUCAUUUGACUAUUAUUUAUAGGAAUUAUCAUAAUAAAAUAUGAUUUUUUAACAAUUUCUAACAUACAUGUCAAAUGUUAGAAAUGACUAAAAAUUAAGAUUUGACCAUAUUAAACCCUUCAAAUAAUAGGCUAAUAAAGUUUAAAAAAUACACGUUUUACAAAAUUGUACGUUAAUAGUGUAAUAUAAGUAUUUAAAAUUUUCAAAGUGACUAACUUCUUAUAUGUAUAUAAAAAAUCACUAAAAAUCUAAAUUAAAUUAUAAUAAACUUUCAAAUUUCACAAUAAGAUUGAUCUUACUCCUAUAAGUUAAUUUAAGUUAUUAACAUGCAUACUCUUUUUUUAUUAACAUGCAUAAUUACUAACUCAUUUGUACUAAUUCUUUUUGGAGCAUAGAUGGUAAAUAAAGAAAAGGAAUAAUUUUAACUUUAACUGCAAACCCACUGUAAAACAAAUGUACACAAAAAUAAACCAAGCAAUACUGUAAAUGCUGCAGAGGACGACCGUUGACCGGAUUCCAGCUGGUGGCCACGUAAGCUUUCUGGAAAACCGCGAACCCCCGACAUCUUUUCUCACACGGGCACCCACCAUCUCCCAACAAUGCACCUUCAACACCUUCCACCGUCCGAUCAAACCAGCACCCUCCUCAAUCCAACGGCUCUCGAAGCCUCAUCUGGGACCAACCACUAAACUUCCUUUGCUCCCGCUUUCGUUUUCUAGUUCUUCUUCUAUUUUAGCUCCCACACGGUGCGCCAAUGCCCCUUCCUUCACUGCUCUGCUCACAGUGCCAUAAACCAAACGAAGGCUCCUCCUUUUUCUAUCCUUUCUCCCCCUUUCUACUUCUCCGGUAGCUCCUCCGGCAGUCCCUCAAGUUUGUAGGAGGGGGGGUGUGAAGUUAUUUACUUGUUUUCCUUCUUUUUUCUGGGGUUUUGUUGAUUGUCUGUAAACUGUUCGACGGAUUUCCUGUCUGAAGAUUCAUGGUGAAGAUACAUAGUCCCCAAAUGGCUACUCUCUUCCUCCUGCUCUGUCUUCUGGCCGGUACUUCAGUUUCUGCCGCUGAAGGUAAGGCCUUUUUCUUUUGAAACCUCAGCUACCAACUUAGCUGGUCUAGUUUUUCAUGGAGCUGUUGAUGAAUCCCAAACAACGUUACCUUCUAUGGCAUUACGUUAGACCUUCUGACUGUGCUUGCUUAUUCUAUUUGAGGUUUCUACUGCUCAAAUGAAACAAUGGUGCUGAUUUUAAGUUUCUACUGUUUUGGAACAAGUUUGGUAUGACUGAUAUUUAAUGGUAGGAUUUUGGUUAGGCUUCUGUUAAUUAAUGGCGAUAGCGGAGUAGUUGUUCGGUUCUGUGUCGCAAUCUUUUUGCAUUUAAGAUGCAAAGUCAAUAUGCUCUUUCCUGUUGAAUAAGAGUCGUUUACUUCCCUGUUAACAUGAACUAUGAAGCUGAAUCUAAUUAAAGCUUUCCUCUUGAGGAUUGUAGUAUAUUGCUAUUUCUGAAUGUUGAUAAUUUCGUUUAGCUCUUCCCCCCAAUGCCUAAAUGGAUAAUCUUUGGAACCAUAUAGUGCUUCCCAGCUCACAUGAUGUUAGUUGCUUUACCAGAAGCUCAUAUGGUGCAGGCAGAAUGGGGGUGGAGGGACCAAAUUGCCCUCUCUUUUUAGGAUGUGGACAAGUCUAUCGUUAAAAGGAAUUAGAAUCCUAUAAGUGUACUCGCCAUGGAUCCAUUUGCCAUUGCCAACUACAGUAUUGUCAGUUUUAAAAUUAUAACAGCUUUAUCAGUUCGUCAGAGUGUUUUUAAUCAUCCUAGUUUAUUUUUGUUUCUGUGGUGGGUUUUCCACUUGCCAGACAGAGAGCUCAGUCUGCUCAGACAUGUUCAUGGUACUUGUUUGGUUUCUUGUUAUUUUCUUGUGCUUGGCAUCUUCAACAGUAAGGAGAUGUAGCAACCCCCAACUUGGUAGAAUAAUGUAGAAAUUGUUUAAUGUGAAAUUUUCCUGUUGACAUUCUUAGUUCUUUAAUGCAUCUUUGAUCUGUAGAUUUUGUUCAGCUUAUUGAAAGGAAAUGCCUUCUAUCCAUAGUUUAAGCAUUAGUCGACGACAUGAGUGUUUGGCCUUAUGAUUGAAUCUGUGUUUCGAACGCUCGAUUUGUUUUCGUGUAGAAUCUGCCAUUGGAGUCAACAUUGGCACAUCCCUAUCUGACAUGCCGAGCCCAACUCAAGUGGUGGCUCUUCUGAAGGCUCAAAAUAUCCGACAUGUCAGGCUCUACGAUGCAGACAGGGCAAUGCUUAUAGCACUUGCCAAUACAGGAAUCCAUGUUACUGUUUCUGUACCGAAUGAUCAGAUCCUUGGGAUUGGUCAGUCGAAUGCUACAGCAGCCAACUGGGUGUCUCGUAACAUAAUAGCUCAUGUUCCUCCGACAAACAUUACAGCUAUAGCAGUUGGGUCAGAAGUCCUUACCACUCUUCCAAAUGCAGCCCCGGUCUUAGUCUCUGCCUUAAAGUUCAUCUAUUCUGCCCUCGUUGCAGCGAAUCUCGACGGUCAGAUCAAAGUCUCUACCCCACAUUCCUCUUCCAUCAUCCUUGACUCUUUCCCUCCCUCCCAGGCCUUCUUCAACAGAACAUGGAACCCGGUAAUGGUUCCUUUGCUCAAGUUUCUGCAGUCCGCGGGGUCCCCCCUGAUGCUAAAUGUGUACCCGUACUAUGAUUACAUGCAAACAAACGGUGUAAUCCCAUUGGACUAUGCUCUUUUUCGUCCCCUCCAACCGAACAAAGAAGCUGUGGACUCCAACACUCUUCUCCACUACACCAACGUGUUCGAUGCUCUGGUUGAUGCAGCCUAUUUUGCAAUGUCGGAACUGAACUUCACCAAUGUUCCAGUAGUGGUUACCGAGACAGGUUGGCCUUCAAAGGGCGAUUCCUCUGAGCCGGAUGCCACAGCUGAUAACGCCAACACUUAUAACAGCAACUUGAUCAGACAUGUGAUGAACAACACUGGCACACCUAAGCAUCCCGGGAUUGCAAUCAGCACUUUCAUUUACGAGCUCUACAACGAGGACACCAGACCUGGGGCGGUAUCCGAAAAGAACUGGGGGCUCUUUGAUGCCAAUGGAGUUCCAAUCUAUAUCUUACACUUGACAGGUGCUGGUACUGUGUUGGCAAAUGAUACCACGAAUCAAACCUUCUGCGUUGCAAAGGAAGGCGCGGACCGAAAGAUGUUGCAGGCAGCCCUAGACUGGGCUUGUGGACCGGGGAGAGUUGAUUGCUCGCCGAUGCUUCAAGGAGAACCGUGUUACGAGCCAGAUAACGUGAUUGCUCACGCAACGUUUGCUUUCAAUGCCUAUUAUCAACGGAUGGCUAAGUUUCCUGGGACGUGUGAUUUCAAAGGCGUGGCAGCGGUCACCAGUACUGAUCCAAGUAGGCAUCUCUUUUUCUCAUGUGAAUCACAUACAAAGCUUUCCACUUGCAUAUUUGUUUGCUAAACCAUUGUUAACUAAUGCAGGUCAUGGUUCGUGUAUAGUCCCCGGAAGGUACGAUAAUGAAACAAACCCUCCAGUAUGAUUUCAGCCUAGUAAAUGUUGUAAAUCAAUCUCUUAACAUUGCUUCUUUGUAUAAAAAAACUGCAGUGCUAGAGGAAAUGAAACCUUCACGAAUACGACAGCCCUGGCUCCGUCCUCAAACUCUACGACUACCUCAGGUUGUCCUGUACUGUACUUCGCCCCCUUUCGUGCCGGUUCUUUCGUGACUAUGUGCAUUUUGCUGGUGAGCAUUGUAUUGUAGUAGUAAACAUUUGUUCUGUGAAAAAUGAUCUGUACCAUAUCUGCAGAAAUCAUCUUACAUGAGCUGUACUAUAUGGUGGUGGUUCGCGAUUUUGAUCUUAAGGCGUAGGAUUUCGAGGGGGUUGCAACUGUAAGAUUAAUUUCUCCUGGUUUUUUUAGCUUGAAUGAAGUAGCUAGUGGUACUUGUUCUAACAUCUGGUUCUGAGUUUAUCAAAUGAAUGAACAAAUAACAUAGAUCAGCCUUGCAUGAUGACUGUUUUCUUCGAUGCAAGUGAUUGUUAACUCGAAAAAUUUGAACUUCUGACGAUAUGAACAUCAGUUAUGGUACUGUGGACACAGUCAUGUAGACAUUUAGCAUGGACGACAUUCUUCAGUUUAAACAGAACAAUGACAAGCCUAAUCUUUUAGCUAUAGGACACUGCUUCCGACUCGUAGUCUUUGCCAUUCAUCAUUCGUAUCAAAAGAACUCGUACCCUUUCCUAGUAGUACCAUCCCAUCCGGCCUCAGCUUCGACAUGACAAUCCUCGCAAAGCCAUCCUCGACCUACUUUCCCCCAGUGCAUCCGGUCAGCAUGUCGUGCACAGUAAGGUUUAUUACAAUGAUCACAUUUCGAAAGGAGCAGCCAACAUUUCGAGCACCAGACUUCAGCACAGAGGCUAGCCUCCUCGUCCAGAAUCUCUUCGUCCACACACCGAGCACACAUCCUGCAUUCUGCGCACCGCGCCACACAGAACUCGCACCCCCUCCUUCUGCAACCGGAGUGUUCGUGUUCUUCAUUUUCCGGCCUGGGGCAUUCGUAGACUCGUCGCACUUGGUCGCACAUUGGGCAGAUCUCGACGUCGAUGUGGUAAGUAGUGCCUUGCUGCUCAAUGUAAGAGCAGAGUGUGUGGUAGUGUUGCUUGCUGAUUUCGUGGAUGUUGUUUAUCUCAAGACUAGUCAAUCCGGUCGAGGCUCGGUUUUCGGAUAAUUUCUUCACUGCUCUUAUGAUUCCUUCUGGUGUUAGCCUCCAGCAUCCUGGUACGUGCAACUGAAAACCAAAAAUAUGCCAGUGACCAAAAUAGGCAUAACAGAAAGUUCAGUGACCUCAGAAACGAUCAUCCACAAAUGCAGUUGCCAGUUAGUUUACCUUGGUGAUGAGCGGGUUAUCGGAAAUGACCGACAGGAGACCGUCGUCGGUGACGUUGAAGCAAUCCACCAGAGUCAAACUCCUCAAUCUGCUGUUCCCUCUCGCCGCAAGUCCGAUCAGGCUCUGAUCGGACAACCGCCGGUUCAGAGGGCUUUCAACUAUCAAGUCCAGCCACGGGAGAACGUCGUCCGCCACCGCCGCGCGAAGCUGGGAGCCUGCGCUGGAGAUCGAGAGAAGCUCGAGUACGUACAGGUAUGGCAGGACGAGGAACAGAGCUUCGUGCGGCGGACCGGCUGAUGAUGAUGAUGAUGAUUCGGUGGUGGUUGUAGUUGUGUCCGUCGGCGGCGCCGGUGGUUGGUGAUCGGCGGCCAUCGGUGAUUUUGGCUGAGAGAAUUGGAGGUUGGAGGUUUAUAGGAAAGAUAUAAAUUGCUUGAGGACGUGCAUGUUACGCGUAACCUUAAAGCAUUUAUUUGAUAGUACUAACAUCUCAAUCAUUCGAGUUUUUUAAAGGCAUCCGAGAGGCAAAAUCGGUUCUCGAGACCGUAACGAAUUGGAUUAUCCGAGGGUGUUUUGGCCCGUUAAUGGCUACAAAGAGUUAUUGGCGAUCAAAGAAGAUUUAUACUCUUCAAUAGCGUUGUCUUUGAUUCGAGUUAUCUCAAUAAAUCAUGUGCAACGGAAUAUGAGCAAGUGAAAUUCAAAAUGAAAAUAUCUCAAUCAUCAAAGGCUCUAAUAUCUAUCAUAUCAAGGAAUCAGUUGAAUAAAUUGAAUUUUUGGAGAGAUUUGAGAAUUAAUUUUAUAUCAUCAUUAACAAGACGAACCUUAGGUAUCGAUGAAGCAAACAUGUGUAAACUCUAUUACACAACUGGUUGUUUGUUCGUCGCAGCAACAAACAUGUUAUUUACGGUUAUCGUCUAUCAUUACAAUCAAUAUGACCAUUUUUGUCGAUAACAAAUCAAUAACACACGAAUAAACCACAAAUAAUAAGUCCUCGUUACAGAUCAAUAACACACCAGAAAGCUGGAGUCCACUUUCAUUAACGUAACUGUGAUUAUGUAGAAUAAGCAAUUGUCCUCUUUCAUGCUUGCAGUUUAUCAUGAAACUCUCCUCUGUUAUUUUGCCAAAGCUAUAUCUACUGAAACAAUCUGUCCAGAAAAAAUUCUUCUGCAGACCAUGUUCGUAUUAUUGUGAAACUAAGAAUCUUUGGAACUCGAUCAAUGUAUUAUUGUGAAACUAAGAACCUCCCCUAACGUACCUACUUGCUAGUGCUUUCCAUCAUGGAAUUGAGCAUUUCUCGACGACUUGAAAGUUUCCAAGAAACGUUUGGCCUCUUCCAAUUCUUGCUUCUGCUUCUUUGUAUCCCAUUUAUGCUCCCCGGCCAGUAUCUGGAUCACCCGGGGUAAUGCUCGAUGUGCCGCGUCAGUGUCCAGGAAAGCGAGCCGCGACCUCCUUGCGAUGAAGUCCACUGCCGAUUCGCAGUACUCGUGGCGUGCACAAUAGGCCACUUCGGCUUCCAGGAUCGGGUAACCAUGGGCAAGUCUCUUCCCUAGACUUUCAUUCUGUGCAAUGGCUGCGACCCGUUCACCUAAUGUACCGUAGGCAUGAGAUAGAUGCUUAGCUGCGGCAGUAUCCAUGACACCGGGGACAACUUUACCGCCAUGGGACUUCUUCGCACGCAUAUAUUGCUGUGCAAGAACAGUAAAAUAUGAAGGCUGCCAGCCGUCGGCACCUGUCAGCCUUAGAUGAUGAGUUAAGGAUCCAUUUGGAGGAUUCAGCUUCGCUGACUUGACAGCUGCGUCAACAGCAUCUUCUGCCAUACUGAAAUGAAAAUCCAGUGAGAAGAUUGCACAAUCUAGAGACACAAAACAAUAAGGCUGUAAAUGUUUACAAAUUAUUACCCUCUGUAAGUGGUCCAUUUGCCACCAGUGAUGGUGACGACACCAGGAUAUUCCUCACAGACAACAUGAUCUCUAGAUAUGCUCUCAGUGUUCUUUGCAGAAGGAUCCGUAGCCAAAGGGCGAAUCCCACUCCAAGCUGAAAGAACAUCUUCACGGCGUACCUACAUUUAAUAACAGAUUCGUAUUAUUAAGAGCAAACAAAAGAACUAGCCAUGGCUAAGCAACUUCUAUGGAAUUUAUUUCACAAGUAAAAUCAGCUUUCUCAAAAGGUUCAUACUAUGGCUAAGCAACUUCUAUGGAAUUUAUUUCGCAAGUAAAAUCUGCUUUCUUCUCAAAAGUUCAUACUAUUUGCUCCCUACUAAACCAGCAUUCUAGUCUUGACACACCUAUCAACUAAACAUUCUCAUAAAAAAUUCAAAGUUCAGGAACUAUGAGUUUAUUUCACAGAAUACACACUGUUGCUAAGAAAGAUAAAAGCUUUAUUCACAAAAUAUACGCACCUUAACGACUAAAUAGUCGGAAAUAGCAUCAAGUAUGAACUGGAUUUCAUCUUCAUGUGGUUCUGGAAGAUGAGUGAUGACAGUAUCGGAAUCUGUAGUACCAGCAAUUGUUCUUCCCAACCAUGGUAACAUAAAGACAACACGCCCAUCCUUGGUUUUCGGAACGAUCAAUCCCAUCCCCUCUGGAGAAUAAUAGUCCGGUAGAACAAUAUGCACACCACUGCUUGGGUGGAUCAUUGGUUGUGCAUCUCCUUUUGCCAUUUUCCUCACGGCAUCACAAAACGGCCCAGCAGCAUUCACAACAACUUUUGCAUAGGUAUCAAACUCUUUGCCUGAUAUAUUAUCCCUAACACGAGCACCAAUAACCCUCCCACUAGCCUUGUCUUUGAGGAAAGAAACGAUUUCAGCAUGGUUGAGCACGGAAGCUCCAGCUAAUGCAGCAGUACAAGCCAAGGCAACAUUAAGUCGGGAGUCAUUCAUCUGGCCAUCAUAAUAUACCACAGUUCCCCUUAAGCUUCUAUCUUUACCGGUCUUGGCGAGCGUUGGAAACAAUUCAAUAGACUCCCGUGUGCUGUAAUAUCUAGAGAGGUGUAAUAAGCGUGGCCCUGCGACUAAAUCGUACAUUUUCAACCCCGUCCAGUAGUAUACCACUUCGAACCAGUUAAAACAGGGUGUCAUGCAUGGCAAAGCAUGGCAGAGGUGCGGUGCAUUAUCAAUAAGCUGUUUCCGUUCCUCCAGUGCAUGGAACACUAACUUCAGCUGGCCAUAGUCGAGAUUAAAUACUGCUUUCUCCAGGUAGCGAACACCUGAUGGAAUGACAAAGAUAAAACAGCAAAACUACUAACAAUCAGAAAAGUAGUAUCAAUUUACAAGAGCCUUAAUUACACUACUGAAUACAGUAAAAAAUCAUACACCAGUAUGAUUACAGAAGAUGGAGAAAGGGUCAACUACUCAACUUUCAGUCAUCCCCAAAAGUUUACAGCUUUAUUCCUCUGGUGAAAUCAACCCCACAAAAUCACGUUUGACAAGUAAAGACUGUUAAAAAAUUACUAGUGCCACCCAAAAAAAGAAGAGAAAAGGCAGUACCAAGUUACAAGAGCUUUAGUUACACAUAACACACUACUGAAUACUGUAAAAAUGGUGGGGGUGAAAAAUACUCUAAGUCGUUUAUGCAGAAUGAAGAUUGACAUUAUCAGGUAUCACAUCCAAUGAGAUUACUACAGCAGUUGCAAAGCGCUCUAGGCAUUUUGCUAGCUGAUGAUGAUGAUAUGUCCAUUUACAGUAGACAACAACUAAUGAGAAAUGCAGAGAAGGGGCAAAGGUGCUAUAAAACAAUAUGGAUGGAAAUUUUCAAAAUAUGCUGCUGAUCACCGCUGCAAACCCCUCUAAAGUGAUCAAACAACAAAUCAACAUCAAACCAUUCAUUUCAUCUCAGCAAGAUAGAAACGAAACAUCAAACCCUCCCUUUACUGAAAAAAGAUGGAUUAACCCGUUCAUCAAGUUCUUCUAACAACCAAAUAUUGAUACUACCCAUCAACCCCACCCUACAAAGGUUCAUCAUUUAUCAAUAACCAACCAAUGGAAUUGUACAGAUUACCCAAAACCAUAGUUACGACAACCAACCCAGAUCCCAGUAUAAGAGAAAACCCCAAAAAACAGAGAUGUUGUUGCAAUGUCAUUGAAAUAAGUAAGCUGUUAACAAUCAAUCUAGAGACUUGCCUCCAUGAAUUAGUUUGGUGGACCUGGAAGACGUCCCGGAAGCGAAAUCAUCCCUCUCAACGAGGCCGACGCGGAGCCCUCUCGUGACGGCAUCGAGCGCCACUCCGCACCCGGUGGCACCCCCGCCAACGACGAGAAUGUCGAGAGGAUUGGCUGCUGUGGCGCCGAUCAGCGCCGACUCCUGGACGGCGCGGGAAGGAACGGAAGCCUUUGGAUCAUGGAUUUUCUUACUGACAUCUUCGAGCCCCGCCGCAGCUCCUCCGCCGCGGUCACUGGAGACGAGUACGGAACCGCCGUAAGCCAGGACGGUGGCAGCAGGGAGGCCGAGGCGCCAAAAGUGGCGGGAGUGGCGGGAAUUGGACAUGGCGGCGAUUGGGGGAAGCGAUCGAUGAGGGAGCUGGGAUUCUUACAGCGUCGUUUGGAUUUUAGGAGGGAAGAAAGGAAGAAAAUUGGAAAGAAAAUCACACUCCGUAAUCCGUAUCUCAGCUUCGAUAUUUUACCAAAUUUUAAUAUUCUGGACCAGAGAAAAUUAUACUUUUACUGCUGUACUAUCCAACUUUAACAAAAAACUCCUUACUCUAUAAGGAUUAACAAUUUAACUCCCAUACUAUAUCAAUUCUAAUAAAUGAAUUUUCACAUCAAUAUAUUUCCAUCCAAAAAUCCGUUAAAUAGUUGAUCUUUUCAAUAAUUUCCUUUUUUACCCUCUUGUUUUUUCAUAUAAUUUACUAAUUUAUUCUUAGGUGUUCAUUGAGAAAUAUGUUAAAAUAUUAAUUAACGGUUUAUUAUCAUAAGAAAUGGCACCAUGUCUUAUGUAGAUACAACACUGUUAUACACGGUCAAUGGGNNNNNNNNNNNNNNNNNNNNNNNNNNNNNNNNNNNNNNNNNNNNNNNNNNNNNNNNNNNNNNNNNNNNNNNNNNNNNNNNNNNNNNNNNNNNNNNNNNNNNNNNNNNNNNNNNNNNNNNNNNNNNNNNNNNNNNNNNNNNNNNNNNNNNNNNNNNNNNNNNNNNNNNNNNNNNNNNNNNNNNNNNNNNNNNNNNNNNNNNNNNNNNNNNNNNNNNNNNNNNNNNNNNNNNNNNNNNNNNNNNNNNNNNNNNNNNNNNNNNNNNNNNNNNNNNNNNNNNNNNNNNNNNNNNNNNNNNNNNNNNNNNNNNNNNNNNNNNNNNNNNNNNNNNNNNNNNNNNNNNNNNNNNNNNNNNNNNNNNNNNNNNNNNNNNNNNNNNNNNNNNNNNNNNNNNNNNNNNNNNNNNNNNNNNNNNNNNNNNNNNNNNNNNNNNNNNNNNNNNNNNNNNNNNNNNNNNNNNNNNNNNNNNNNNNNNNNNNNNNNNNNNNNNNNNNNNNNNNNNNNNNNNNNNNNNNNNNNNNNNNNNNNNNNNNNNNNNNNNNNNNNNNNNNNNNNNNNNNNNNNNNNNNNNNNNNNNNNNNNNNNNNNNNNNNNNNNNNNNNNNNNNNNNNNNNNNNNNNNNNNNNNNNNNNNNNNNNNNNNNNNNNNNNNNNNNNNNNNNNNNNNNNNNNNNNNNNNNNNNNNNNNNNNNNNNNNNNNNNNNNNNNNNNNNUAUGUUUUUAACUCGAAUGAUUUAGUCAGGGAAAGAUGGGACAAGUAGAUAAAAAAAUAUUUGUUCUAAAGUAGCGAUCAACGUUCUACGUACAUAUACUCAUAGUGUAUUAAUGCUAACUCGAGUACAUAUUUGAUAACCCUAAUAAAAUUAAAGAUUGAUAUAAUAGCUUAAUAUAUUUACGGAUAAAAAAAUACCAGCGAGUACAUAUGUCUAUCGUUAAAACAAUUAUAUAAAUAAUUAUGUACAUCUUUAAAACAAUUAUAUAAAUAAUUAUGUAAAUCUUUUAUUUUACGAUAGUGGCUGAGAAAAAAAAUUAGACGAGAAAAAACAUGAAAAAAAUAAGCAACUAAUCCAAAGUUUCCAACACCAAAAUAAUUGGUCCAAAUUGGCCAAUGGUCCAAGAAAAUGACAAUUAAUAAAAAGGAAAUGCUGACUCAUCAUUUCCCACUUUUCCCGGAAUUUCGAUUUUUGAGCUUUUUUUUCUGCUUUUUCUCUGGUUAAACUUUAAACUUCCACCGUCGAUUAAUCCAAUAAUUUCCGACGCCAACUUUUCCAGCCAACCAAAACCAGAAACUUUUCCUCUAUCUGAAUCGAGAGGAAGAAGGAAGAAGAAGCAACAAUCCCGCCAUAGCCACCACGUAGUAGUGGUAGUUCCUUACAAUCUCCACAGACCCAAAUCCGUUUUGGAAGCCUACUCAAUCGCUAUAUCUAUAAAUAGCAACCAACCAGAAAUGGGAACGCUUCAAACAUGGAGGAAAGCCUAUGGCGCCAUUAAAGACACCACCAAAGUCGGCCUCGCUCAUGUCAACAGCGAUUACGCGGUAACCCAUCAUUUCUUUCCUCCUAGAUUCUCUCUCCCGAUUUCCAUUUUGCUGAAUUUUCUGUAACUUUUUGUUUUUGUGUGUGUGAAAUUAGGAACUGGAUGUGGCAAUUGUCAAGGCCACGAAUCAUGUCGAGUGCCCACCCAAGGAGAGACACCUCAGAAGUGAGUUUGUCCGAAAUUUGAGUGUUUGAUUGUGGGUUUUUAGAGAGAGUUGUUUGAUGUUAUGGGAUUUGAUUGCUGGCAGAGAUCUUGUUUGCUACUCAAGCGAUUCGUCCCAGAGCUGAUGUUGCUUACUGUAUCCACGCUCUUUCCCGGAGGUUGACCAAGACUCAUAACUGGACGGUACGCUGGCAUUUGUUCUAGGUUCUUGGAUGAAGUGGAAGUAGUUUUAUAUUUCAGUUUGAAAAUUGUCUGCUUCACGAGCAUAGCUGUGUGAUUUCUUCAUGAAUUUGGAUUAGAAUGAGUCCUGCUGGAGAAGAACUGUGUUCUUUUUUGCUAUAACUAUAUGUUAUUGACUAGUGAAACGUGAAAACUCCUACACAUAGGUCAUUUUUUUGUAGAGUUAGGAAGUCUAUUCACUUCAACAUUAACUUGACGACUUCAUUCGUUUCGAUGAAGUGAGUAACGUUUCGUAGAAGUGAAGCAUCUUUUGCUUGGGUUAUAAUAACUUACUGUUAAGCAGAUGAACAAAAUCUGCUUGUAGUAUGAUGAUCUUACUGUAAUGGUAGUUGCUUUGAUGUUUUUCCCAUAACUGUCUUUAGAAUGGGUGUACAUCAGUGCUUCGAUGUUGGUUGAAUUGUUGUCUUCUGUUGACAGGUGGCAUUGAAGACACUAAUAGUGAUCCAUAGAUUGCUAAGGGAAGGCGACCCUACUCUUAGAGAAGAACUGCUGAAUUACUCUCAAAGAGGACGUAUUCUUCAGCUUUCCAAUUUCAAGGAUGAUUCUAGUCCCAUCGGUAGUUACUAGACUCUCAUCUCUAAUGUUCACGUUGAAGGGAAACUGUUUUUUGAAUAUUGUUUAGCUCUUCCGUAAGUGUUAAUUCUUUGUUUUUUUUUCGCAGCAUGGGAUUGCUCUGCUUGGGUUCGUACUUAUGCACUGUUUCUGGAGGAGCGUCUUGAAUGCUUUAAAAUCUUGAAGUAUGACAUUGAAGCCGAGCGUCUCCUGAAACCUGUUCAGGGGGAGGAUAAGGUAUCUCCUUUAUUUAACUUGAUCAGGCAGAAUAGUAGAGUAAUGAUUUUUUCUCUCCAGAAAGGGAUAGAAACCAGGGAAAGGAAUCUUAGCAUUAGCUGAACUGUGACAAAGCAAAUGCAUCGACCUUAACUGGAUUAGGGUUGAUAAGAAAACUGGCAUUGACUGAUGGACCAUGUAUUCACAGCUAUGUAUACAAGUGAGAUAUAUUCGUGACCGCUGGGAGUCUUUUCAGUUCAUUGCCUUUCUCAGUAAGCUAGUCUGCGUUAGAGAAAGAAAUUGUGAGCAGAAACAUUUAGAAAGGAAGAAAGAAGAGAAAGGAGAAAAAUAGAAGUAUAAGUUGUAAUUAGUUUGGAUGCAAAAUCUCAGGGGGGAUGAAAUAGCCAGGGUUGUUGAUGCCUUGAACUUCCGAGAGCAGGAUCAUGAAUCUUAGACUUCUCCAAGCACGCCUCAUCAAUUCUAUCGGCCAUCCCAGUGGGUUUCUCCCAACAAGUUUUACCAGUUCCAUCACAGCCAUUGAUGAAGUACAGCAAAAAGACUUCUUAUUUUCUGUUUUUUCUUCUUUCUCAUAUGGCGACUUCUUAUAGAACUGUAUAAUUAUCGGUAGUUUUUUUUAUCGCGCUGCCGUGGUUUUCUCCGUUCUUACUUGACACGCAAAGAGAAUGUUGUAUUUUACUAUUUUAUACUAUUAUUUCUCCGCCCUCGAUGCCGUCGGGUCAUGUUUCUUUACUGAUCACCAAUGGGUUCCGAUUCUUGGGGUUUGAAUAUGAAAGCUGUGUUCUUUCUCGCUCUUUUCCUCUUCUUCUCUUUCGUUUAAAACCUUUUGCAGCAAACUUAUUAUUUCACCUGCUCUCUUAUGCUGGAGUGAUAAAUAACGUGACCGGUGUGCAUCUUCUGUAACCAGGGCCAUAGCAGAACCAGGGAGUUGGACAGUGAGGAGCUGCUGGAGCAACUUCCCGCUUUACAACAGUUGCUGUAUCGUCUUAUUGGUUGUCGGGUACUUGCUUGUCAAACCAUUGUGACUUCUGCUUCUUUUGGUCAUAUUUUCUCGAGUUUUCCUUGUAAAAGUACACACAUUGACAUGUCACUCGUAUUUACAGCCAGAAGGUGCAGCUGUCCGCAAUUACGUUAUUCAGUAUGCUCUAGCUCUGGUAUGCCCGAUUUCUCUCUCUCUCUCUCUCUCUCAUUGCCAUAGCCCUAGCAAUGCACCAUUCCUGUUUCAGUCGAGGAAUGGUAAGUUCAAGUUGGCAUGGUUUGCGUUGCUGAACUUUCAGGUGUUGAAAGAGAGCUUUAAAAUAUACUGUGCUAUUAAUGAUGGAAUUAUCAAUCUUGUGGAUAAGGUACAUCUUGUAAUGGACAUUUUCUAAUGCAAGUUUUUCAAUAGCUGUUCGGCUUUUCUGGGCAUUUAUAUGUUUCUCGUUGCAGUUUUUCGAAAUGCCGAGGCAUGAAGCUGUCAAGUCCCUUGAUGUCUAUAGAAGAGCUGGCCAACAGGUGACGUUAUGGGUUGCGACUUUAUCGUAAGCGUGAUAAGAGAGCUGUAUGUGGUUAAUUAUUGAAGGAGUUUCUUAAUCUCUUUUGCUUUCUCCAGGCUGCCAGCCUUUCUGAUUUCUACGAAGUGUGCAAAGGAUUGGAACUUGCUAGGAACUUUCAGUUCCCUGUCUUAAGAGAGGUACCACAUAUAAUCGAUUCGAAGUUCCUUUUCAAUCGUCAGCCUUACUAAAUAUUCUUAGUAAAAGAUGAUGUUACUUUCUGUAUAGCCUCCACAAUCGUUUCUUACAACCAUGGACGAGUACAUACGAGAGGCACCUCGAGCUGUUUCUGUUACAACUGAACCAUUGGUAAGUAUUAGUCUCUACUAUCUAAGCAAUUCUUCAAAGCUUUCUGGACUAACGUGUGAAAUUUGAAACAGCUCAUGUUGACGUACCGGCCAGAAGAAGGUCCUUCCGAGGAUGCCAAAUCAAGCGACGAACCUGAGCAACUUCCUGCCGAUACUGUUGCUGUUUCCCAUGUUGAGGUUUCUCAGACUCCUCCUUCGCCUCCUCCCGUAGCUCAUCAGAACGGCAUGGAUACCGGAGAUCUCUUGGUUUAAUUCUCUUCUUUCUCUGAAUCUCUGGUCCCUUUGCUUUUGCUUGAUUCUUAUACGCCUUCCUUAUUUUCACCCCCUUGAACCAUUUCAGGGGUUGAGUGAUCCGUCUCCGGAUGCAUCUGCAAUAGAGGACAGAAAUGCAUUGGCUUUAGCUAUUGUACCCACCGAAACAGGUUUGUUUGUCGUCAACUUACAUUCAACCUCUUCUAUGUCCGAAACGCCGCGCUUAUUAAAGAGAUUCUCGACUCGUGUGCAGAUACUGCUCCAACGUUCAAUUCCGGUGCUGGUCAAGCCAAAGAAUUUGAUCCAACUGGAUGGGAACUUGCUCUGGUCACCGCUCCGAGCAGCAACAUCUCGUCGUCGAACGAGAGGCAGCUGGUACGUGACCUUUUCCAUCAUACGGCCAUAUCAUGUUUUCAAUGAAACUUGAUUCCGAUGCUCGAAACUUUAACAUAAUUUUACAGGCCGGUGGACUGGACACGCUAACUCUAAACAGCCUAUACGAUGAUGGUGCAUACAGAGCAGCCCAAAAGCCGGUUUACGGAGCUCCAGCACCGAACCCAUUCGAGGUGCACGACCCGUUCGCUCUCUCAACCAGCGUCGCUCCACCACCACCGGUACAAAUGGCAGCAAUGGGCCAACAUCAACAUCAUCAACAGCAGGUCAACCCGUUCGGCCCUUACCAAUCUCCUUAUAUGCAACAGCAGCCACCACAGGGAUUCCAGCAUCAGCAGCAACCACACAUGAUGUCGAACCCGCACAACCCUUUUGGCGAUUUGGGUUUUGGCAGUGGAUUCGUAGCGAACCCACUCGACCAUCAUCAUCACCAUCAAGGUCACAAUCCGUUCGGAAGCGCAGGCCUGUUGUAACGAGAGUGAAUUGAAUUUGCCCCGCCUGGUGAUGUUUACUAUAAGGGUUGGUUUGAGUCUAAUUUUUUGUGCUCAUUUUGUAGUUAUAUAUCGAUUCUAUUAUUUUUUCUUCCUCUUGUGCUAUAGUGAGAUAUGUAAUAUUGAUUCAUGGGUAGAGUGGUUGACGAGCCGAUCGUUACCCACCUCGAGCUCGACUCAUAUGCUCGUCUUAACGAACUAGAAUUCUUUUGCAAAUUCAAGCUUGACUAGUUCCCAAGCCUAGUCGAGACUCGAGCUUGAAAGCACGACUUAACAAGCUAAGUUCAAUAUCAACUCGGAUACAACAAAAAGGUUUAAUGCUUGAUUCGACACGUCCCUGGCCAACUGUGGAUUUAUUUUUGUAUAAUAGGAAGCCUAUAACACCAUCUAGACUCUGUUUAUAUACAUCUAAACCAUAUUCUGUAUGUACUCUCUCUAUGAUCAAACUAUCCUUUUUAGGCUAAUUCUACGUUGAGCUCGAAUGAUAUUGUGAACUCUCACUGUUCAAUGUUCGUGUCCAUUCUUGGUUUCUCUACUAGUAGCUUAUCCAACAGACAUAAAUUCUCGGGGCCCGAUCCGAUUAAUGACCCGAUUGAUUAAAAAAGUCACCAACCUACAAUCCGAUAAACCCGUAACCUAAGUAGCUCGACCAUAACUCUACCCAACCUACCCGUUUAACAGCUAUGUAUCAUUAAAUUCGUGAGAGUUGUUGGAAUCAAUAAAUCAUCAGCUAACCAAAAUCGGGUCAUGAAUCGGAUUGGUCAACUCAGACUCCUGAAAAUCAUCAACAAACCGCCCAAACCGUUUCCUACGCGGCAUCCAAAAUCCGCCAAUCCGGCGCCAACCGUAUAUUAUUUUAAAUUUAAAUUUAAACUUCUGAAUUUUUAAAUCUUAACAGACUAUUUGUUAACCUAACAAAUAAAGUUGAUAUUUUUAUUCCUCCUGAACUGAAUCCGUUUCUCAUUUCGAUUUUCUUCCCCAUUUUCUCCUCAUAACCGCCGCGGAUCCACCAGUGAACAGCCGCCACACCAUUUCCGCCGUCGCCGGGAAAUAAUAAAGCCGCCGCCGCAGAAGGAGACGAAUUCAAAGAACGGAAAACGACAGGCGGGUGGGUCCCUUUCUUACACCUCAAGGUCUUUGAAAUCUUUCACCAGUUUGUCCUGGACCAGUAAGGUUUCCUCUUUCUUGAGUUUUUCCCCAUCUUUAGCUUUCUUUCUCUUCCAUUGAUUAGGCUAGUAUUCCACUUAGCAAGCGAAGAUGGGUCUGGGCUGGAAGGAUAUGGCUUCCCUGUUCUCCUUUCAAUUCCUCCGCGGUAUCUUCCAGGUCAGUUCAGUUGGUCAAAUUUGGUCAACUGUGUAUAUUCAUCGAAUUUUAGGUCUAGCAGUAAUGAAUUGUUACUGUAGAUUUCACCCUGUGGGUUUGAUUCUUUCCAAAGAUAUGACAUUGCUCGUUAGGGAAGUUAAAUCAGUUGGUUGUUGUUCCAUCGCUGUUUUUGUUUGUUGUUGGUGAAAACCAACUCAACUAAGAAUAGAAUUUUCCUAGAGAAAAGAACCAACUUUGUUGAAAUCUUGUCUUCUUUGUCUCCAUUUUUCGAGUUGGUUGUGUUUUUUUCUCUGUGCAGCGGCGGAAGCAGCAGGAAGAGCCACAGGGGAGGAGGAUGAGAGAGGUGGAUCUUGGUGCUCACACGAUUCAAAGUCAUGGAUCUAAACUUGCUAGGUACCACAUGUACGAUUGGCUCAUCUUGUUGCUGCUUGGUGCGAUAGAGAUCACUCUUUACAUCAUUCAUCCUUUCUACCGGUUUGUGGGGAAAGAUAUGAUGGAGGAUCUCAGAUACCCCUUGAAGGAUAACACUGUUCCUGUUUGGUCUGUCCCCGUAAGUUUCUCUCUACAUUCUUGCUUAAAGAAGCGAAAAAGAAACGGAUUUUAAGAUUGGAUUGAGUUUCCAAGCACUCUAGGCGAAAUUCGAGAAUGCACUAGGCAAAAAGCUUCAAAAUUUGAAACUUGUACAUAGAAUUUCGUCAGUUUAGAACCAAAGCGCCCUGAAUGGUUGCAUAAUAACUUCGUCCACCCUUGAUUCCUGCCAUUGUGCCCUCGUGCGAGUUCGGUUUUGAGUUGUUCUGCUUUACCCCAACUCCUUUCUUAUAUGUACAAAAGGAGACUAUAUAUGUUGCUGACGUUGUGUUAGUGUCAAAGAUGAAUUCUUUUAUUGAAAUCUAGCUUAUAGUGCAAGGGACUAUAUUGUGUCUUUGCUUGUAUGAGGGUUCUUCUUCCCUUCAUUUCUUUUGCUUUUUGAUGGUUGAUGUUGAUGUUAAUGUUGAUGGAGGAUUCUCUUUUGCUUGCUAUUCUGUUUGGUGUUGUGGAAAAAACAGCUAUAUGCAGUCAUACUUCCGAUUCUGGUCUUUGUAGUCUUCUAUUUCCGGAGGAGAUGCGUCUAUGAUCUCCACCAUGCAAUCUUAGGUACUCUACAGCUGAAAAUUGUUCCAGGUGUAUUUAUUUCUGAUUCUCACUGGACUUAUUGUGUUCUUCAAUUGAAUUUUCCACAGGCCUCUUAUUCUCCGUGCUGGUUACUGCUGUACUCACUGAUGCCAUCAAAGAUGCAGUGGGGAGGCCAAGGCCUGACUUCUUUUGGCGCUGCUUCCCUGACGGCAAGGAUGUAUGUAUCUUCGUUCCCUUUCAUUUUCCAUUUUGCAGAUUCUGGUUGAAUGCUUAUCCUUUUCCACUUUCCUCCAAUCUAGCUCUAUGAUCAAUUGGGAGACGUGAUCUGCCAUGGAAAUUCCGAUGACAUAAAGGAAGGACACAAGAGCUUCCCCAGCGGGCAUGCUUCCUGUAAGAAAACUUAAAACCAAACACUCUUUCCCAAAAUCAUCAGAGGUAUCAACCAGAGAAUCUUAAGAGGUCUCAACUCAAUCUGCAGGGUCGUUUGCUGGACUAGGCUUCCUGUCGCUGUAUCUGAGCGGCAAGAUCAAGGUGUUCGACAGGCAAGGACAUGUUGCGAAGCUGUGCAUCGUGAUCUUACCUCUCCUCGUUGCAUGCCUCGUAGCGAUCUCGCGAGUCAACGACUACUGGCACCACUGGCAGGACGUGUUUGCUGGAUCGCUCUUGGGGCUCGUGGUUUCAGGAUUCUGUUACCGUCAGUUCUUCCCAUCCCCCUACCACGAUCAAGGUAUAACAACAUUGUUAUAUAAACUAAUUGUGAACUGCUCCCAACAACUUGAAUUACUGGUAUGCAACAGCUUCUAGCGAUAUAAUCCUUUACAAACUCUUUGAAUGUCUGUUCAUGAAGGUUGGGGUCCUUAUGCAUAUUUCCUUGCACUGGAGGAAGAGUCACGCUCUGGUGCCGAUCCGAAUUCGCUUACCAACAAUGAAGCCAUGGAAGCACGGCAGCAUCAGCAUCAUCCAACGAAUGGUGAUCUUCAGUUUACAUCUAUAGAUCUUGAAUCUGGAGGAAGAUGAGAUUAAGGAAUCCCUUAUGGUGUUAAGUCCUUUUUCAGUUAAGAUUUCCAGAUGAUUGAGAAUAGUUAUGUAAAUGUGUAGACCUUUUUCGUGGAUUCGACUUAUUCGUAUGUAAUAGUUUUUCACACGGUAUAAGACACUUUGGCCAAGAGUAUAUGAAAACUUAUGGAUCAUGUCAUGUUUUAAACCCUAUCGGGAGAAUGAUGUAUAGCGGAGAUGGUAGUUUUGCUGGUUUUCAGCCUGGUGAUCUUAGGUUCGAAUCUCGGGGAGUGUACUCCUCACUCCCCUUUUGUAGCACCUUCGGUUUGUUUAAAUAAGUACUCUGCUUGAAGAUAGGUAGCACCAAGAUUUACCUUACCCCACCAUCACAAAAUGGCACAUGUAGAAGGGGUUUCUCAUCAGAAAAAAAACACACCAUAUCGACACAUCUUAUUUUUAAAAGUUGAGUAAAUAAACAAAACAAAAAGUUAAAUAAAAGUAUAUCACAUCUUAAUUUUCGAGAUAGGGCCUCUAAAAUUCAUUCAACGAACCAACGAAAAUGAUCCGUCAAUGUCCAAACUGGUGUAUAUAUGUCAUUGUAGCUACUCCAUUAUUGAGAUCAAAAGAGACAAAUGCAUACAAACUAAUAGAUAGAGGAGACAAUGAUAUGGUGCUUACGUGUAUAAUGACAAUGCUGUCCCACACUUUGUUCUUCCUAGAGAUUGUUUUAGUUGGAAGAAGGUGACGAAGAAGAGGCCAUUUAUGUAAAACCAGGAAGAAGAUACCAAAGGAAGAACUCUUAAAUAUUUGUGUUUUCAUAUUUCAAUAAUUUGAGUGGUCGAUAAAUUAUAUAGAAUAUUGAUUUUUAUAUAUACUAUUCACUAACACACUUUUCUUAAAUAGAAAUUCUUAACAGAUAUGAAGUUUAAAUAAGUCAUGCACAUGAACUAGAAGCUAGUCGAAUUCAGAACGAAAACAUCUUAGUCAUUAAAGAGUCUGAUACUAUAUUAUUACUCGUAUCCGAAAUUUUAAAUUUAGUUAUAUUUUAGUAUAAUUUAUCAGUGUAUUUUGGUGGUAUUUUCGACAAUAUUUUAAUUCUAUUUGGAUUCGCGUCAACAAUCAUGAACAAACUCAAAUGUCACCAUAUACACAUUCGAAAAUCGUAUUAGAAUCAGUGCAAGUAAAUAUACAAAUACGUAUAUUUCUAAAUUGUAUCGACGUAUCUUUCAACCGUUCAAAACAAAAAUAGUAUAACGUAUAGAAUAAUAAUAAAAUGUGACAUAAAGUAAACUUUUAAAUCAUUAGAAUGCAUGCAUUAAUACGGCUAACACCUAAAAUGAAGAUAACCGUACAAUUUCGAAAAAAAUGAUUUUUAAUUUUAUUUGAACAUUAUUUAAAAGAUUUAAUAUAGUAAAAUUUAAAUUUUUAGUCAUUUUUAACAUUUAUGAUAAAUUUUAAUUAAUUUGCAAUUUUUUAUAUCAAAAUGGUCAAUUUUUCAUGGAUUGUACACGUCGGUCAAAUAAAAAAAUUAAUUUAAUUUUAUUCGGUUGUUUUCUAGUUAGAAAACCUACAUUAACUCGAAUUGAAUGCGCUAUGACUUCUAUGAACAAAGAUUAAAUUCACGGCUCAAACCUCUUUGAACAAAGUUCAAACAACGGUGUUUGAUUUCUAGAAGUACGAACUAAAUUAGAUUAUCCCUACUCCUAUGGAGGUUCAAUGAGAGCUCCAAGAACUAUGACUAUUGCUAAAGUUGAUGAGAAUGAAAGAUAAGUUGACAAGUUGGUGCAGAGUUGUGGUUUUGUGAACCUUUGCUUCUGUCUACGUGGUCUUGUACUUAUAGCCAUCUGUGGUAACUGCUUGAAGAAAAUGCUCAUUCCCCUUCUAACAACGUGGUUAACAUGUCGGUUUCAUUCUCAACUGCCUUGAUGAUGUAUUGAUGAGGGUGACUUGGGUUGAUGAGGUUGACUUAGACUGAUUGACCGUAAAUGACUUGGGAUGAUGAGUGACUUGGGGUUGAUGUCUACUAGUAGGGUUGAAAAGAUAGGAUGACUUCUGCGGGAGUGACUUCUGCUAGGUUGGGAUGAUGUUGCCAAUGAUAAUGAUUCAUGAUGAUCUGUGGGUAACUUGGACGCCAGUGAUGAUUUAGAGUUCUACUAGUCACUUAGAUGUCUGGCUGUGGUUUGGAUGUCUGUCAAUCACUUAGAUGUCUACAGUGGUUUAGAUAUCCGACAAUGACUUGGAUGAUAUUGAUCCAUUCCCAAAAAACUACGCCUAGUUUAAGUUCAAUUUAAUUAAAAUACUUAAUUUGGCUUUAAUAAAGUAGUUUCAUAAUCUUGAAAUUAGCCAUGUGGUAUUAAAAUUAAUUUCUGGUGUGAACAUCGGUUAUUUUUUAGCCAUAAUUGGCUUUUUUAUCAAAAUAUAUUUAUUUAUAUUCAUAUAGUAAGGAGUGAUAAACAUCAUGGCUCACCAUAGCCUUUGGCAACAACCAAGGUACCAAAGGUGCAUACCCAUUGUCAAGUUCAUUGAUCAAACCAAACAAGCCAUCCAUACACAAUGUGACUCUUCCCUUUAGAGGGAGAUGGCUUCGUAACACGUUUUAUAUUGAUAACCUUGCAUGUUGUCUGAUACUCAUCUCUCUGAGUCACCAUAGUUAAAGUAUUGGCAGGAUGAUAUUGGACCGAAGAUAUAUGUCUUGCUCUAGGAAGCUUGUUAGGCAUUCUCAACUCUUUUGAUUCAUGAAGGCAAUCAUGAGUUUUCUUCUCUCUUGGUUGCCUCCACGUUGAGACAUGUCUAUUCUCCCCAUGAUGUUGGGAAUAUUGAUUCUUAGGCUUGACAAGUCCAUUGUCACUUAUGUGUCCAACUUGACUCUGGCUUUCAACAAUCAAACUAUGUUGGCUCCUACACUUAACACACAACCAUCGUUGGCCUAGUGGGUGACCAUGUUUUGUAGGUGUGUAUUAAGACUUCUUAUGCAUGUCCCCUUGUCUACCAUCUACCCUUGGCAUACCAUGGGGACUCUUAGGUUUGGAUUGCUCUUUCUCCAUCUCCUGGCACACUUUUAAAAUCAUCAAAAUCACGGAUGGUCUUGGUACAAUCCACACUACUAAGCAUGCCCCCACUCCAUUCUUUGUGGUUGGUGACAUGUCCCCUGUCCACACAUAACCGUUAUGACAUUAACAUGUCGCUUAGUUGGACAGUUCACCUUCAUGUUGCCAUGUGGUAAGCUUUCAUGGUCCCUUGUUUUUCCUCGACAGCUUGAAUCUCAUAGGGUCCACACCAUGCCCAUUGAAUUGGGGUAGCACAGGUCUCGAGUAAGCACGUGGUGGAAUGUGGUCUCCACCACCUAAACCACCUCCCCUCCCAUGUUCGUAGGUGUCAUAUACGGUCUUGUCAUUGGUAUGGGGGAUGGUUGAUCAACUCCUUGCGCAGGAAUCUGGUCAACUGGAACAUUGAACGUGAGAGUAGGGUUUUCGCCACAAGGUGGCUGUUCUCCGAUUCCCACAUCAUUGGAACCCUCCACAUGUGUUGGUGACUUCGGCCAAGCCCAGCAAGAUGAAUUUGGUUCUCUUCCGACUGAGGUGGAACCUUUUUUCCAACAAUACCGUUAGACCUUCCUCUAUGGCCAACAUCACCGCCAGCCACUUGCUCCUCUUCCACAAAAGGUUGUGGAAGGUCACCUUCUUGAUUCCUCCUCUUUGAUGCCAUCAAAUCAACACAAGGGUCCCAUUGGACGUGUCAAUUUGUUUUCUGGUGAGAAAAUCUAUAUUGAUUCAAAUUGAAUGCGCUAUGACUUCUAUGAAUAAGAAUUAAAUUCACGUACCAAACCUCUUUGAACAAAGUUCAAAUAAGGACGUUCAAUUUUUGGUAGUAUGAACUAAAUUAGAUUAUCCCUACUCCUAUGGAGGUUCAAUGAGAGCUCCAAGAACUAUGACUAUUGCUAAAGUUGCUGAGAAUGAAAGGUAACUUGACAAGUGGUGUAAAGUUGUGGUUUUGUGAAUCUUUGCUUCUGUCUACGUGGUCUUGUACUUAUAGCCAUCCAUGGUAACUGUUUGAAGAAACUGCUCCUUCCCCUUCUAACACCAUGGGCAACAUGUCGGUUUCUUUCUCAACUGUCUUGAUGAUGUAUUGAUGGGGUGACUUGGGCUGAUGAGGUUGACUUGGAUAGAUUGACCGUAAAUGACUUGGGAUGAUGAGUAACUUGUGUUGAUGUUCGUCAGUAGGGUUGAUGUCUGUCAGUAGGGUUGGAAAGAUAGGGUGACUUCAGUGGGAGUGAUUUUUGUUAGGUUGGGAUGAUGUUGCCAAGGAUAAUGAUUCAUGAUGAUUCAUGGGUAACUUGGACGUCAGUGAUGAUUUAGUAUUCUGCCAGUGAUUUGGAUGUCUGCCAAUCACUUAGAUGUCUGGCAAUUGUUUAGAUAUCUAGCAGUGAUUUGGAUGAUAUUGGUCCAUUCCCAAAAAAUAACGCCUAAUUUAUGUUCCAUUUAAUUAAAACACUUAAUCUGACUUUAAUAAAAUAGUUUAACAAUCUUGAAAUUAGCCAUGUGAUAUUAAAACUAAUUUUUAGUGUACUUAUAUUGAUUUACUAUUAAAACUAAGUUGAUUUAAAACUCAAUCCAUGUAAGGAAUCUAGUUUAGACAUAUAUUUUGAGCUUCAAGAUGAAACUAUUAUUCAUGAUAUCCAAAUUGCAUGAUAUCCUUUCAAUCUCGCAAAUGCUAUAUGUUGACCAACUCCUUUGCAUCUUACUAGAUACUCAUAAUAGUAACAUAAAAGAAUAACUCCACUAGGGAUAGGUGACCAUACACCAUGUUCUUAGAUUCCAGAUCCACACAUCGUGCGGAAGAGCUUUCAUCCCGGCGUCAAAAUGAAAAAUCGUCCAUAACUCGCUCGUUCGACAUCCAAGUUAGCUUUGAUUUGAACCGUUGACUCUGUGAUUGAACCCUCUAUCCGAUGGAUACCUCAAACCUUAAAGAAAACUCGAGAAAAUAGAUCAAACGAGCCUAACGGACUCUGGUAUACAAAAACUUUCGGUGUGCCCAGUUUUUUUAUAACGUAAACCCAUCACCAACGUCCAUUUUUCAGUUUGUGAUCUCGACGGUUCACAGUUAUUCGAAUAUUAAAUAUCUAUUUCACAUUUUGUUUGCGAUCUUAUAUUUGUUUCGAAUUCUCAUACUGAUCACCCUCUUUAUUUCAUAUAUUUCUAUUGAUACACAAACACAAUUCAUUAACAUUGCUCCAUCCUCUUUAAUAAAUUGCACAUCUCACCUCCACAUCAUCCUUAUUUCCCAUCUAAUUCUUUCCACGAUAUAUAUGACUCAUUAUCCUUACCAUCAUGCAUCACCAUCAUCAGCUAUCUCCGAAGCAAUCACCACAUCCCGAAAGAAGCAAUUCCCGACGUACCGUCACUGAUCGAGUUGCUAAACCCAUAUCUGUUGCCGCAUGCAUUUGAAAUGAAUAAUAUUGUCGUAUUUGUUACAGAAAAGAAGAAAAGUAUUGAGCAUUGCAGUUCAAGAAUGGCAUAUGGUAAAAUCAACUAAAACUUGGUGUCUCCAUGUGCCGAGUGAAGUAUCAAUUGAUAUAUAAGAAUUAAAAAAGUGACUAGUUUAUAAAUUGAGAAAACAAAUAAGACCAAAAUUAAAAUGUGAAAUAAAGAUUGAAUAUUCAAAUAAUUGUAAACCGUCAAGAUCGCAAACUGAAAAUGAACGUUGAUGAUGAGUUUACAUUACCAAAAAAAACUGUACACACGAAAGUUUCGGUAAACUAAAUAUACUGAAGAAUUCACCAUUAUUAAUAUGUUAUCGAGAAAAAUCCUCAAAAGAAAAUGGAAAAAAAAAAGCAUCACUCUAACCAAAUUCCCAUCCAUCUAUAUAUAAUAUAACACUAACACAAAAAAUCUUACAUAAUCUAUUAAAGAGAGACAUUAUGAACAGAUUCAGCAGCCGCCGCAGAGGGUACCACCGCCUCCGUAGCGCCACCACGGUGAGACAGAGGCUGAAGAUCGCUCGGCUAGGCGGCGGACGAUUAAAAGCUACUGGCCGGGAGUUCAUAAAGGCAGUAAGGAAGUGGUGGAGCAAGAACAUAGCGGCAGCUUUCCACGUGGCUUACUUGCGAGUGGUGAAGAAGCUGGCGGCUCAGAUGAAGAAGGAAUUUCCUCUGGCCGGCGGCGGCGAUGGAGAUGGUCAUAUGUGGGAGCUGCCGCCGGCGGGUGGAGACAGAGUCGAUGACGGCGACAGAGUGCUUGUGGAGUUCUAUAGUAAGCUUUUGGCUUCUCGUCAGUUUGUUAGUCUAGUGAAGUUUGGGUGACCCAAAUUUGGGGAAAUGAAAUUGUUCUGAUUUCGUUUUUGGGUUUGUAAAAAUCAGGUUUGGUUUACACGGUAUACGAGUAUGCUCAAAGAGCGGACCAUUCGGUCGGCCAGGAUAAAACCUGACCAAAUUUGAUCUGUGGUGUCUAUGACGAAAAAUCGAAAUGAAAACUCGUGAUUGUGACCCUAGACUAAUUCAAUUCAGACAACCUUGCUCGUUACAGUAAUUAAAAUUAUUAAACCGAUCCAUGAAUUCGAAAUACUCGAACCCUUAUGGCUUUCCUUUACUGGGCCUGAUCUGUUUGUCAUCUGGACCCCUCAAACCCAUGGGCCCACAUUAGUCUUAGGCCUAUCAAAAUUGGUCUAUUAUUAUUAUUUUCAAAAUAAUGAUUUAGAUUUUACUUUGUAUACAUUCUAUUAACUAUGUCCCUUGCUUGAUUUUGGAAUCAGGUUGAAAUAAUAUGAAAUAGCUAGAAAUUAAAGAUAAAAUAUAUUAUUUGAUAAAUAUUUUUUAAUGAGGAUAUUUUGGUAUAUAUAUAUAUAUAUAUGUAUAUGGUACAUGUUAACAUUAAAAAUAUUUAUUUUAAAAUUUUAAUAUCGAAACAAUAAAUUUAAACACUUCAUAUGCAACCCUAAACACUAAAGAAUAAUGUUAAACCCCUAAAUACUAAAUUCUAACCCUCAGACAUUAAUAAUUUAUAAAAAUAAACAUCACUCACUAAUGGGUGGUGGGCAAAGAGCUAAAUCCACUCACUACCAUUAUAUCCUUGGCGUUCAGACGAUAAUAUUUGUAAUUUUUCGUCUUUUUUUGUCAUUUUCGUCUUUCUUUAUCAUUUUUUAAUCAUUUAACACAUGAAAUUUUUUAGUAUGGAGUUGUGAAGGAUAUCUCCACAACUUAAUUCGGCAUUUGAUUUCUCUAGUUGAAUCACUCAACUACACCCACCAGCGUCCAAGAAGUACGUCGGUGUGAGAAACGGAAACAAUGAUCCGACAAUAUUGACGAGUGGAUUAAUUUUGGUGACAAACCUAACCCCUCCACUUAACCUACAUCUCUAACUUUUGUUAGUCUAGUGAAAUUAGAGAAAUCACAUUCGAAACUAGUGAGCUCAUUAAGUCAAACUCAUCAAGUCAAACUCGCCAACUUGUCUACAGCUUAUAAGCCGGUUCAAUUAAGUCGGCAUACGAGUAUGUUCAAAGAGCCCACAAUCUCUCAUAGGGUGGAAAAUUUUGGUCGGUCAGGGUCGAACCGGACCGAAUUUGGUUGAUGAUCACACUGGCUUUCCCUUUAUUGGUACAACAACACAGAACACACUCCUCCAGUUAACCAAACUGUCUACAUGAAACCAUAUUCAGAAAGGAUUAAGGGAAUCAGAAUGACAUCACGCUACGUACUUAACCACAUCAAUGCGGAGAGACAAUGACACCCCUUUGAUUGAUCACAAGGCCGGAAAUCUACGAGCUCGGCUCCACAGACUGAGGCAACAGCCGCCUGAAAGAAUCCGACGACGACAGAACAUCCUUAGCAGAGUCAUCCUCUGGAAAGCACAGUGAGUUUGGAGGCAACUCCAGUUGACCACAGGUCAACAUUUCCACCACUUUGGACAUCGGUGGACGAUGCGAUCGGCUCUUCUGGAUGCACCAUAACCCCACCACGCACAGCUUCCUGGCCACCGCGGAUUCGAUCUCCAUCACAUUCUUCAGCUCCAAGUCUCCUCCGUUGCUCAGAUGGUCGUGAACCCACGUUGGAAAGUACACCUCCGAAGAGCACUUGCUCUUUGAUUCGACCAUUCCUAGCAACAGCAUUCCGAAGCUGUAGACGUCGGAUUUGCUCGAAACGGCCUCGAUGCCAUCCGAGAACACUUCCGGUGCAAUGUACAGUCUGGAGAGGCGAUUCUGACUACACAACUUGGCUAGGCCGAAAUCUGCAACUUUCGGAGUGAAAUCACUGUCCAGCAGGACAUUUCGAGGAUUUAUGUCUAGAUGAAGAACUGACGAGACAUCGUGCAGAUGGCGGAUGGCUCGAGCCGUCCCUAUCGCGAUCCGAUCGAGCUGCUCCCAGCUAACCGGAAGAAGAAGACGUUUAUCGAGCGAUCCGUUAGGGAUGUACUCGUACACAAGAACACGGCGAGAUCCUUCGCAACAAAAUCCGAUAAGCCUAACCACAUUUUCGUGACGAGUUCCAGAAAUUGUAGAUAUCUCAUUCAUAAAGCUCUCACCAAUGAGAUUCAAACGAUCAUCAAUCAUUUUGACAGCAACAAAUCCGCCAUUCUCGGGGAGAGUACCCUUGAACACGGUUCCGAACCUACCACGGCCUAAUCCGUGCUUGAAUUGUUCAGUCAUUACCUCGAUUUCGGAGUAAGAGUACCUCCUGGGAAGAGAAUUUGAGACGAACUUCUUCCUCAUGAUCUCCACUGGUGGAAAACUCUUCGGAGAUGUUCUGCACUUGUGGAUCAGGAAGGCUGCUAUCACUACUGGAGCUAGGAUGAACCUUGCAAUCAGAUUGAUCACUGGACAAAAAGUAGGCAACAUGAUUACAUAUUUACAGUAAGCAGAAUCUCCACCAUUGGAGGAUAAGCUUUCAAUCUGACUAUGGCGAGAAUAUACCGAAGAAAAGACCGGAAAGAGCCGAGAUGGCAGAUGAAACCACAGCUGGAAGGUAAUUCUCUGCAACAAAAAAAGGAACAAAAGUUGAAGAUUUGAAUCAUCAAAUUUCAAAAUUGAAUUUGAAAAAAUAAAAAUUCGAUCUUUAACCUGAGCUGCCACAUUCAAAGAUCGAUGGAGUAGAAGCGAACUCAGUCAAAACGCAACCACGGCCACGAGCAAGGCAAUCGCGGCACUCAAGGGACCAACCAAGAUCAAACCCUUCCUGCAAAAGCUGGACGAUGCUUUCAUAGGAAGGAUUCGAUACUGGCUGAUAAAUCGUCGGAACCCUGGAAAUGAAAUUGCAAGUCCCAUUGAGACCAGAGAUUAUGUAAGUUCCGUAGCUGACGUAAAUAUCGCUCAGGCAAGGAAGCUUCCGGUAAGAUUGCUGGCUGCUGAGGUUUCCGGAGCAGCGGAGGAAGCUGGUGUCGGUGUUGAAAGCGUAGGCGGCGAAUCGCGGGUCCUGGGUGAGGUCGCCGGCGGAGAGGGACUGGGAAGGGAGGGAGCAGCUGUGAUCGGGGAAGAACUUUGGGUCGACGAGGCGGAUGACGUGGCGAUCGUAGAAGAUGCGGCGGACGAUGUAGGAGGAGGAGUGGAAGCGGAAGAGUGGGGUGGUGUUGUUGAAGCAGGUGAUUUGGUAGUCGGAGUCCCCGCAGGUUAGUGGGUCGGUGGUGAGACGGAAUGGGUAAGUGAUGUUGGUGAGGUGGCCGCAGGUGGAAUUACAGAGCUGAGGGAGGGAUCUGGAGUGGGAUUGUUUGGGGGAAAGGAGGGAAAUGAAGAGGAAAAGGAGGAGAGUUGAGAGUGUUUUCAUGGCUUCCGGUGGCCGGAGAUUGUUGGUGGCGAAGUGAAGAUUGAAAGGGAAAGUUGUUACAGUGGACCGAGACAAUUUAGCUGCAAAUUCUCUGCUGUUGUUAAAACACUGGUUUUGGUCCAUUACUUUGAUAUGGAUUACAUUAUAGUCAUUAAUGGUCACUUAAACUUUAAAAUUAACUCGACCAAAAUCUUAGCUACAUAUGUUGCAAGUUGUAAAGAUAACCAAGCCCCUAGCAAGUAACUUAAUAUUGAAUUAAAAAAAGUUGGCCGGAGUUCAAUUUGGUUAUUAACUUGUUGAGUUUCAACGAAUUUUAAUUUUGCGUUGUGAAAUAGUGUGGCUCAUAAAUUUAAUGGAGUUUUAUUUAACAGAGUGUAUGAGGCAAACUCAAUCUCUCUAAUUUUGUUGAAUAUCUUAAAUGAGUGGCUCGAUAGGAUGGCACGAAUAAUUACCAAACUCCAGUUCUUAUAUCGCCAAAAAAGAAUCUAUCUCAAUUUCAGCUCGUAAAUAAAUUCAUAUGUGAGCCAAUGUGAUUUAUAAAUUCGUCUAUUAACAUUCCAUUUUAUCCCGAAGCAAAAUCUUAAAUAUAUAGCAUAACGUGCUAUAACUUAAAACUGUAAUAACACGAGUAAUUUUACUCUCAGACCUCAGUGGGCCGGGUUUUCGAGGCCUUAUUAUCCCGGUCGGUCAGGUUGUGGCCCACAGAAAAAGGCUUAAGGCUCAGUCUCUGUCUCAGUUUGCUUUCUCCGAGCUGAUCGUUCGAUCAACUUCCGACGAGAAUCUCACCUUCUCCAAUCCUGCCAGUCGCCAACCACUCCCUCUUUACUUCUAUCACUCCGUUUCAGUGUCCUCAGCUCAGCAAUCCAUCAGCAGGUACCACCAUUCUCUCUUUCCCCCCCUCUUUCGGCUGCUCUCUGUCGAUCGAUCGAAGUUCCGUCGCAAUCAAUCACACAGCGAUUUUUCGUACGGUAUCAAUCUAGCUACGAUAUGAUCCCUUGCAAACUCUGUCUACUCUGCAUUUAGUUGGGUGAUUUUUCGACCUCUUAUUCUUCGAGAAGAUUGUGGAUUCCGAAUGCUAUCAGCUGUUUGUUCCCUCCGAUUGCUUGUUUAAACUCCAUUAGCAGUUGCUUCAUCUCUGUGAAUGCUUCUAACCAUGCUUGCUCUGAUCCAAACUUCACUUAGUUUGUGUAAUGGAGGAUCGGAAUUCUUGCAGAACAAUGGCGGAUGGCAGUGAUGAAAUCAAACUAGGUAAAGAACAUGUGAAGGAGACAACAAGUACUGGAUCAGGUGGAAACUGGGUGGAUGAUUUGCAGAGGACUGUGGUAGGAUCCAAGGAAUCGGUAUACGCUCUGCCAGUUCGUUAACUCAAUCAUCUUCAAUCCAAUUCCACUCCUUACAGGUAGCUUUGUUUAUCUAUAUCUUUAAGUUCUAAGUUACCAACCCAAUAGUUUGUUUCUGAUGAAUUGUAUUUUGGUGGCUGCUUUAGAAUCACUAUCUUCCUCGUGCCGGCUCUAGUUUGAAGAAUUAUGAAGAUGCAUUCCUUACCAAACUUGGAGGUAGUCCAUUGUACAAUUUGAGCUAGUAUCUCGAAAUUUUCUGUGGUAUCAUUCGGUUUAGAUUGUUCAUUUCUCCUUUCUUCCAACAGAUGGACUAAGGACUGCCAAAGAACAUCCUGCUGCUUGUCUUGGAGUUGCUCUUGCCUCUUCCCUUCUUCUCAUGCGAGGUCCCAGUUUCUGAUCCCCUAACCUUUAAUCUCAUUACUGUUUAUGAGUUGUGCUAGUUGUUUUAGUUCGAAUUUGUUGACAAUGUACCAUAGGAUUUGUUUCUUCAGCAGUUAGUUAGGUGGCUAAUACAUACUCAAUCAUUUACUGAUCCUCCAAUUCCUUAGUACUGCUGAAAGUAGAAACAAAGAGUAUAUCUGGGUCGUUCAUCCUCAUCAACUGAUAUUCCUAGACUUGAUUCAAACUACCAGGGCCGCAGAGGUUUUUGCUGCGCCAGACAUUCGGAAGAUUCGAGAGUGAGGAGGUAAAGUUACAUUCUCAUCUGCCCGAAUUCAGAACUAGUCUGUCGAACCCUCUUCAUUAUCUUAUUCUUUUGUAGGCAAGAUUCCGCAAAGCUGAGAAGAAGGUGAAAGAUUUCGUUGUUUCGGUCGAUCUGAUGCAGAAGGAGAGCAAGAAGUUGCUGGAGAGGGCAGCUCUAGCCGAGAACGAUGUGACGCAUGGCUACACCGAGCUCAAGUAACUCUUUUUCGUCUUCCUAUCUCUUCGAAUCUUCGUCUCUCUUUAAAAUGAAACUGGUUUGAUGUUAUAUUUAUGCAGGGACGCAGGAAAUGAAAUCCAGCAAUCAGCCAAAUCCACCUACAAGGUUGAGCUUCAGGCUACAGGUAAAUGCCAGCUUAACUACACCAGAAUCUCUUGGCCAAAUCAUUGCUUAGCUCUUACAUUUUGUAUGUCCAUUAGAUUUGGUCGACGGUCUGCGAGCAAUUCCUGGGAGGGAAGCACUGAAGCUUCGACUUGAGGUGAGUGUAUGUAGAUGGACUGUGAUCAUGAUUUCAUUAUCAGACAUUGUUCGAGAAAUGAGACAAAAUCGCUUAUCUCGAAAUUGUUGAAUCUGCUUGUGGAAUAGGUUGCUUCCAUGGCGUCGAAUUUGAAUAAGCAGAGGACAGAGCUUGAUAGGAGAAUCCUGAAGAUUUCUGAACUAGGCGCCGGUUAGAUUAUUAACGUACUAAACGGUGUCGUAGGAUCACAAAUUACCUAACUAACAGUAUUUACAGUACGCUUUUUUAUUAUUUACAAUCAAAUUUACAGAGAGAGAGAGAGAGAGCUAAACACUCGUUAUUUACAAUCCGACCAAACCCUAAGGUGUCAGAGAAUCCUUCCUCAUCGCUCCGCCGUCUAGAAAUUACUCACCCCACCACGCGCCACCAGUCCGCCGUCGUCGGGACAGCUACGCGCAGCCAGCAGGAGAAGCGGGGAUCGGCAGAUCGGGCAAGUGAAAUUGCAGCGGCGGAGCCAGCCGUCGAGGCAUCCUUUGUGGAACACGUGGCGGCAAUCGAGCUCCCUGACUAGCUCGCCUUCGCUGAGGCCGCACAGGCACACCACGCAGUCGUCGGAAUCCGAUCCUUCGGAGUAGAGGCAGGAGGAUCGGCGGUUGAGACUUAGCUGAUCUUCCACGGCGGUGGAUCGCGGAGAAGAGGAAGUAGUCUCGUUGUCAACAUCGCUGAUUGGGCGGGAGAAGAAGCGGCGAAAGGAUUUGAUGGAGUUGGAGAGGAGGAUGAAGAGGAGCCAGUAGAUUGAUCCGUCGGAGAGAUCUGUGAGGUCGGUCGGCGAUCCCAUCGUUGAUUGUAAGCUGGAAAAAUCUGAGGUUCGAAAAGUGAAGAAAGCUAUCGGGGAAAUGUGAAGAAGAGAGAGUGGGGAUUGGUUUGCUUUAUCUGGUUCGGGUAUUUAUUGAAGAAACGGGAUGGGCCGGCCCAUCCGGAGACCGAGCAUGGGCUUUACUUUAACAAAAUUACAUUUUAAGUGUUUUCAAACCCGUACGGGUACACUUAUCAAAACAGACUGAUCUAAUUCGGAUAUGACGGUUUCAUCAAUUGAUCAACAUAUUGUCAGACUUACAGGUGUAAUGUUUUGGUACAGUUCUGAAAAUUAUUCUUUUCUAUAGUUCGUAAUAAGUUGAGUUUGAACCCAAUCAAAAAAUUUCCAAUCAAAAAAUUUCCAUCCGUAAUUAGAAUUGAUCAGUCGUCACGGCCGUUUUACCAAUGACGUAUCGGUAUGGAUGGACCGAACUCGCUGAAACAUGAACCACUUAUCAAAACAAUAUAAUACAAUUCUGAUAGAAUCACGGUUCAAUUAUGUAGGUCAAUUAAAGCGGUUAAACCGCAUAUCAUUAGUGGUUUGACGUCUUCAUACCGUUCUAAGAACCAUGCUUGUAGCCUAGAUUACGAGUUGGGGGAUCGGGUAGCCGGUGUGGCUCACUUGAUCCACCAACUCGAGACGGACAAUCCGACGAUUGACCCAGAUGAGAUGAUCAUCGGUCCAAGGCAGGCGUCACUAUAUCUCCCCAAGAGGCAAGUCGGGCGCUCGACCUUGGUUGCUUGAUUUUUGAGCACAUGCAUGCACACACAGCUAGCUAUAACAAGGCAUCCAUGGAAACUAUGAUGAUGGUCGUAGCGAUUGGUUAGUCUGACGUCAUGUAAAGUUGACGUUGGGAAAUUCAGAAUUUAUGAGCUCUUCUCUCUUUCAUAUGCAGAAACGGAAACAACGUGUUUCAUACACCAACAAAUUCAGGAUUAUUUAAUUUAUUAUAUUGAAGAUGUUAAAAUUAAUUGUACAUUUAGGGGGAGUCCCUUUCAGAUCAUAGUCUAGCUUGUUUUCAAGUCUAAAGCUCAUAUACUAUAUAAUUGUUUCAUAUUUUUAAAUGAAUUAGUAUAUCUAUGCGUAUUUCAAAUUCUUCGUUUCCGGAUUUAGUGUACUGAACCAUUUUAAAUCCACAACAAUGGAGUAAAAUAUAGUGGGCUAUAUAUAGAAAAUAAACGGAUUAACAUGUAAAUAUAGAAAAAAAAUAUAUAUAUCAUGAAAACUCUGAAAUAUUCAAAAGUAGACGGGGUGUGGCCGAAGAAGCCGCUGUAUCCGCCUCCGGCUACACCCUAGUUUAUUAUAUCUUUUUAUUCCUUGCAAAUACUGGUGCCAAUCGAUAGCUCAUCUAGUAGCUAGCACGUUCUAUUUCGGAAUUGUGGUGGGUCAAUUUGAAUCAUCCGAUAAUUUGAAUAUACUGCGUGUAAAAUUAUGGAAAUCGAAAUUUAUGUCCAGCUGCAUGCAUUGAGGUGUAUAUCCACGAUGGUGUUCACACCAUCAGAAAAAGAUGCUAUCCUUGCAUUGCAUGCAUGUGAUUCCCAUGUUACUCGAUCACAUGGUUGAUUAUUACUAUUGCUUAUAAUGAGUUACAUAUGAAACCAGAAUGAUCGGAGGCCUUGCGUAGAAUUUCAAGUUUAAAAGACAAUAAUGGUAAUAUUUUUCAUUAAUAAUAGUAAAAUUAGGGUGUAAUUCCAAUUGAAACAUGUAUCGAGUUGGGUUUUGAUUAAAUAUUUUUUUUUAUUGAGUAAUCAAUUGCCGAAUCCAUUACUUUUUAUCUAAUGUAAAACUACAAUACACGAGAAAGACAUUUGUUAUAUUUUUUAGUUGAACCAAAUUUGAACGUGCUACUGGCAAAUUUUUUUUCUUCUAAUUUUGAUUAAUUUAAAUUAAACUUAUAAUUAUUACUAACUAAUAGAUUGAUUAUAUGUUUAAAUUUGAUACAUUAUUACCUAUUACAGAGCUUGGGCUCAAGCUCAAGUUAAAAUGGUCUUAUCCAAUGAGUGAGUUUUAAAUAAUGGUUCAACAAUAAACAAAUUUAGAAAUACACUAGGAAAAAUUUCAAAGCACGAUGUGCGAAAUUCAGAAAUACAUAAAUUUUAUAUAAAAAUUGGACGCUCGGGAACGAAGUCGGAUUCGCCCGGUCCCAGUUCCGCCAUUGGUUACAUUAGAUUUGGUGUUGCAUCAAGGGGCGCCACAAAAUCCUCAUUGACCCUAUAAACUAGUGAACUACUUGUGUUGUUUGAUUUGUGAACCGUUGAUUGAACCCAUACAAACAAACAUUAAAUAAUUGCAUACACACGCCUCUGUUUAUCCAUCACGAACAGAUUCAAUGUUUUUCCAUCCAUGAUUUCUGAUACAUACACCUACGUUUCUUCAAAGUCACUAAUAACAAAUCUUCAAGGUUCAUGUCCUAUUUUCAAGUAAAUAUCGUUCACAAACACGUUACACUUCAAUCAAAAGGUAUCAUAGCCAUAACGGUAAACACAAGAGGGUGAGACCGACGAGUAAGUAUUAGCUAUUGAAUUGGAUAUCCUUGCUUGUUUUUAUUUCUGUGAGCAAACCGGUAAUGUAUCCAAAAGACGCAAAGGAGAUUACAAACAUACCCUCAAAAGGCAUUAGACACGAUGAACGUAAGGGACAAAAUCGUAAUAAAAUAAAGGCCCAAAAGAGAAAAACAAAAGCCUUCGCGGGCUCAAAAAAACAAACACUGCAAACAAUUGGGCCUUCUGAUGGGCAAAAAUGGUAAAACGGCGCCGUAGUUGGGAGAUAGGCUCAUCAUCAUCCAUCCAAUCCAAAAUCCAAUCCAUUGGGUGUCAGAUUAGCCGCUGCCGCCCUCCGGUCAAAUUCCACACCUCACCGCACCUCCACCUCCGCGACAAGCAACGCACCACCACGCGCCUCCAGCGAGGAGCGGCAGAUCGGGCAGGUGAAAUUGGAGCGGCGGAGCCACCCGUCGAGGCAGCCUUUGUGGAAGACGUGGCGGCAGUCCAGCUCCCUGACUAGCUCCCCUUCGCUGAGUCCGCAGAGGCACACCACGCACUCGUUGGAUUCAGAUCCUCCUCCCGGUUCUCCUCCGGAGGAGUAGAGGCAGGAUGAGCGGCGGUUGAGAUUGAGCUGGUCUUCGACGGCGAUGGAGCCGCCGCAGCAGCUGGCGGAGGUGGAGGAGGAAGUAGUCGACCGCGGAGAGGGGAUUAGGAGGAGUUGGGAGAAGAAGCGGAGGAAGGAAUUGAUCGAGUUGGAGAGGAGGAGGAAGAUUAGCCAGUGGAUUGAGCCGUCGGAGAGGUCUGUGAGGUCUGUCGGAGAUCCCAUGGCGGCUCUUUCUCUGGUUUCUGAAUGUUUUCCGACGGAGAAGAGAUAAAAAGGGGAGAGAGAAAUGAGAAAGAAACGGACGAAUAUGAUUCGUUUAUAUGGAGACGCGAGUGGGGCCCCCACCUCAUCAACAAAUUCAGCAAAAGCUUUUCUUGAAAAUCGAAAUCGGCCCGGUUGGGAAAUCGGUAACCUUAUUCGGUUUAGUUGAAUCCAUGAUUGGUAGUUGACUGCAUGAAAUCGGUUUUAUAUCAAAAUGAAAUUGGUCACGGUGGACUUGCGAGAUCGAUUUGAGUUCUGGUAAGUACUCGAUUUGAUCAAAAUUGUGACAAAAAAUAUACAUGAGCCCAUACUUUAAGGAUGAAAUUUGAUUACAAUUAACGAAUUAAAAAUUAAUUAAUAAAUUGAUUUUGGUAGACCUCUUUCUCUAUAUUUUAUAUCCUUUCGAGAAAUUCCUUUUUCAUAUGCUAUUUGUCAAUGACAAUAUAUCUUUCGAGCUGUCAACAAAAAAGAAGUCUUCCACCAUGAUUUUGGUUGGUAAUGACUUAAGUUGAAAUUAAUUUAGCCGGUUUAAUCGGUUAAGUUUUCUAUUCUAGUAAUGAAAAUGAUUUCUGUUCAAAUUUAUACAUAUUUAAAAAAGUGCAAAUAAUUUUCCCAAUUAUUUGAAGGGAUUUACAAACCAAAUCGAUCCAAUUAAGUCUAUCCGGUUCGAUCCGAGAUAUGGUCAUCACUACAUGGGGAAGUGGGAUUAAAUAAUUGGUAUCCACCGUCCAAAUUUCUGAUUGGUUAAUUUAAGUGCUUCCCAAGAGAUUUUGUUCCAAAAUAUAAUCUUUUGAGAAGACAAACAAGUCAAACACCCACCACACACACUUCAUUGGAGCCAAUUAAAACUUAAAUUAAACUUUUAAUUAAUAAUUAAUGCUCCCCAUGCCACCUCCACACGAAACCGUGUGCUUGCACAACUUAAGGCAUCGUUUGGCGGCGAGGAUCGAGAAUCACGAGCAUAUAAAGCUAACUUGCUCGUCACAAUAUAUUUUGACAUACUUCUUUUCAAAUUCGAUAUAUCUGAACAACCAACGACUUAAAUAAUUCUUUUAAAAAGGGGUAUGCAUUGAAAGGAUGGUAUAAAGAGAAGGGCAUGAGAAAAGGAAGAGAUAAGAUGAAAUGGAGAUCCAAUUAUCAACACGUAGUAGUAGUCCUUUUAAUGACGGUUUUGGUAUCCUUGUGAUUGUCACAAUCAAGAGAUGAAAGGGAAUUGGUAAGGCCAAAAUAUCUUCUGAGAUGGUCUUUCCUUCCUUCUAAAGUAAUAUAAUUUCCCUUUCAAAAUAACAUUUUUUUAAAAAAGCAAUAUGAGACUGGUUGUUUAGAGAAAACAACUAAUUAACCUUGAUCAUUAAGAUUUUCAAUUCGAUACGAAUACUAUAAAACCUAUCAAAAUUCUCUCUCAACAACUCCGUUCAUGAUAAGGUAUCAGAGGUUUAAAAGAAGGAGAGGUUUCCGUUUCGAAUCUCGAUAGCCCCUAUUCUGUGCACAUAACUUACCGUGUGAAGUUGUGCAAACCUCAACUCUUCUGAAAGCUUAUAUUUGAAGGAGCGUGUUAAUGAAUACUAUACAAUUAUGUGAACCCUCUUUCAACAACUCGUAAUCAUUUUUUACAAGUACAUCCGAAUACCUAUAACUAGGUACUCACUCUACCGUUGGCUUACCCAUUCCAAAUGAGUAAGCAGAAUUAAGAGCUCAUGUGUGAUCAUCUUUAAUAUAGCUUGGAGUUUAGUUUCCACUCAACUCUCCAUAUGUUAUAUGUGUAGUUACUUAUUCCUCUUGAUCUCAAUUAGAGGCGGAGUCAUGAAAUUAGUUAAAAAGGUGUUUUUCUCGGUACCAAAGAAAAAAUAAAUUACGUAUUAAGAAAUUCGUUAGAAUAUUUGACCUCUCGUUCAAUACAAAAUAAAAAGGAAAUAAACAUUACAUAUACUUUUGAAAUGAUUCCAUAAGGAAAAAUUUUAGGACAGGGUAGUAAGAUUAAAGAAAAGAGUUUGUACUUAAUUAUAAAAAAACUUUGUCUGAUAAAAAAACAGUCAAAUUAUUCAUUACUUCAUCAAACCUGAAAAAUCUUUAAAAUACAACCAAUUCUAAUUUGAUUGAUUCAUAACUCGAUUACUAUGUGAUUCAAUAAAUUCUCUAAUCAAAUUGAUCACUGAUCUAUUAUAAUCCGAUCGAUUAAUUCAUGUGUGACUCAACCAACUUGUGAGUCCAAUUUUUUUUUGUGGAGAUAAGGGGUAGAGAGUUCAUAUACCAAGACUCUUGAGCUCACUAAUUUUGUUUGAAUUAGGACUAGAAAGUCGAGGUUGAGUACAUUCACCAGACAAUCCGAAUAUAUAUUCAUGAUGUUUUUAGACUUCCGUAUAUUUUACUAAUUAUAAGCGAAAGAUAUACGAUUUUUCGCCCAUAUUUAUAUGUUUUUUUAAUAGUUGAAGUGGUCUUUGUAACAUGUUGUGCAUUAGUGAUUGGUUAAAUUGGGCACCCACUUUGCAAUUUCGGGAAGCUGCUGUUACAAUAAUCCCAUUGAUCUCCCAAUACUGAAUUAGGUGUCGUUUGGAACACGGGCAUCCAAAGUUUAUUUAAAUAAACCAUAUGAAGUGAGAUUAUGAAACAAACAAAGUGUAAGGUUAGAUUUAAUCGAGUUUGUUUGUCAUACAAAACGAGAGUAGUUGAUUUUCCAAAUAAUAGUGUCGUGCUGACUAUUAUUAAUAUUAAUAAAUAUUAUAAAAUCUAUCAAAACCCUCUCGAGUUAUUAUUAUCAGAAUGAUACCUGACAUGAUGCAUGCAUAUUGCCAGAUAUCAGAAUGACGUCGUUUUUUGGUCAUAAAUAAAUACAUAAUUGCAAGAAGCUAUGUAGGGAGAUGUGUUCUCGUCUCCUCAACCAAAGAAAAAAAUAUAUGAGGUACCAUGGCCGGGUUAACGACGACGGUUGAUUAGAAAUUGGGUUGAAUGCGGUCACCAAAUUUUAAGCUAUGUAACAACGUCAUCAUUUAACUUCCAUUUGUAAUGUAGCAAUAACGAACUUUCAUCAGCGUCUUUGUCGCGUUUCCAUAAAAACUCAUAACUCGGACUACUAUAUCGCAUAUAGUUGUUGGGUCAAGAGUUGGUUGGUCUAUACUCACCAUAUUUGAAGUCUACUUCCCAUAAAAAGUUGGCCCCAUAGAAUAUGUAGUGUAUGUACAAACGACUCUAAUUUAUCUGAGGAGGGAGGGGAAAUCGCAAUCUAUACAUUUUGUUAGCAAUCUUCACAUUAUAACUCGAUAACUAAUUCAAACGUCCGAGUUAAAUAUGUAGGUGAAUCCUCAUACGAUUUGAGGUGUCAAACUCCAUGCAUUAGCUGCACCCGCGAAUAGUUUACAUAAGAUUGAGUAUUGAUAUCUACGGUUGAGUAACAUUAUUUUGGAUGAUGUAACAAGUUGAGUUGUGAUUUUACAAUAAGAUUUCGUGGUUUUAAAUAGAAGUAGAUGAGAUUGUUUGUUAAGAUAUGAAAAGUUUGGUGACUACUCUACCGUAGAAAUUAAAGUUGAGUGAUCAUUUUGCUACAAGAGAGGGGCACAAAAGUAGUGGUGGACGCCCACUACACCGCAGAACUCGCUAUCUCUGAUUACACUUUCUGUGUAAAAACAUGACCGACAUUUAAUACUUGGUCCUUAGGCGCCAACCGUUACUCGCUUAAUCAACUAGCGACUUUUCCAAUCCUUUUGUUUUACAAGAUUGUAUAACCAUGCGGUCUCUAAGAGUUGUCUACAUUAAGUGGUACGCAGAAGUUUGGUUCGCAAAUGUAUUUGACUAAACUAAACAACCACUAAGAGUGGAAACUCGGAUUGGUUUUCCAGGUAAUCCGGUUGAAACGAGCACCGAGCGAUCAAAAACUAAAACCAAUAGUGCGUGGUUCUAGAGGGUCGAUUGCGGAGGUGAGUGGAUGAGUGUGAGUGACUGCAUGACCUUUUUUUUACUUGAGGCGCAUAUGAGUCCCCGACGGACGAUUCUUCGUAAGGUGGGCAAGGAAAGAUAGUAAGAGAGAGAAUUGAAGUGAUAAGCUACUUACCGAGAGUGUGUGCUGUUUGUGGGGUGAGACUUGCCGGAAGCGUAUUUAUUAAGACAUGUAUGAUAACCAAACAAAAGACACGCCCAACUUUCGGAACGACAGCCUUAUCCAUUGGUCCCAGCACGGAACAUUAGGCAAAUGCGGGUGACGAACGAUGAUCGGCAUAUGUCGAGACUUUUCAACCAAUCAAAUUUCCAAGUUGGGAUAGUGGUGUCAUGAGUCAGCAUUGUAACCUGUACGGAAAACUGAUCGGGUCGUUCGAUUUUGAAAUCACUUUCAAGUCCCUCCUCAUUUACAUAAUCAAACAUGACAUUUCGACCAAAUCAUCCGGACCCACAAAAUCACUCACCAAAUCUACCUCAAAUCUGAAAAACAACCGACCUUGAUAAGACUACCACUCUGUUCUAGCUCUAUAUCUACAUCACUACCAUCACUGAUGGCCAAAACACGGCCUGGUCCGAAUCAAUCAAUCAAUCACCGACUUUACGUGAGUCAGAAGGGUUUCAGAAAUGAUUCUUCUUGCUUCUCUUCUGCAGAAUCGACAUUUGGUCGAUGUAAUCACGACCGGUCUGAGAUCCGCCCAUCAACCACAGCAGGGCCUCUGCCGCGGCAUCCUUCUCCGCGCUCUUCUUGUUUCCGUAAGGGUUCCCCAUCACUUCCAUGCCGUUGAACUCCACGGUGGACCGGAACUGGUUGUUCUUCAGUUGCUUCGUUUUGUAUACCGGCGCAGUGUACCCGGCUCUCGUCAGCAGCGUUUGGAGUUGGCUCUUUGGGUUAUCGCCUCCGGGUCCACUGUCACCUCCUGAUGCCAGAAUCGGCUUUCUUGUCGUUGAAGCCACCACGGGGGGUUUCGUAAGGUUGAGCAGCUGAUGGCCAAAUAAGAAUCUUCCAUCGGAGCGAUCCUCAAAGAGGAGUAACCGUACUGCUGAGAAAAGCUCGUCGUGUGGCUUUAAGCUCAUUUUCGGAUUGAGUAGCUGCAAAAACUACACCAUCAAAAUCUGCAUUUCACGACAGUGGAAAACAACGAAUUAUGUAAUGUAAGGCUUCACCUACUUUCAUCUGAAUAAGCUCAUCGAGUUCUCUUUUCAAGUUGGUAUACAUUUCCGCCACUGCCGGUUUCAUGAAGAAUUCCAGAUAUCCUCCUAGCAUCUUCAAGUGACCAUCCUGUGAACCAAGAACACACGUGUCAAGACCAAAGCAUUACGAAACUCGAUCGAGAGGAAUGGUGGCAACUGACAGCAUCCCCUUUCGUGACGGUUCCACCGAAAAGAAGCAACAUUGAGUCUGAAACAGCUGUGGAGUCGCGGAGGAAGACAGCAUUGACUUUGACCUUCUCGUUAAAAACUAACCAUGGAUAGGGGAUGCUGGAAUUCUGAGCAUUGACAGAGUUCUGCACAAGAAUAGAGAGACUUUUUUUAGCGUUUUUUCCUGAUAUCUAAGAGGAUGAACUUUUUUGGGAAGAUUACUAAGCAAAGGAACUUACAGAAUAUAGCAGCACCUGACCAUCCUCCAUAGUUUUGAGCGAAAACGACUUUUCAUUGUUCUGCAAUGGAUGAAUUGUGUUAGUUAUAAUAGCAAAGGUACUACCGAAACUCGUAAUGUCAUCAAGAAUGAGAAGUUGUCUUACCACGACAGAGCACACUCCGGGGUAAAGGCCGUAACAAAUAACUGCUCGAACAAAGUGCUCCUCGUGGCUCAAACCGUUACUGUGUGCAUUACUAUCAAUCAGGCCAAUAUCCCUUAUCAAGGAGAAGAACUCCUUCCUGAGAGAUUCAAUAGCCUUCAUGGAUUGAACAGAGAGGAAAUUCUUCCAGCAAUAGUCAUGACCAGCGAAAUUCCUUUCAGCAUCUUUCCAGCCAUUAAAGGCCCGAACAAGGGCCAUGUGGUCGCUAUAGUCACGUGAAAACUGAGCUUUCGCGGCAUCUGCAAGCUGGGCCGACAUAGACAUGGCAUUCAAAGCAAUCAGAACCACAAAAACCACCAAUAAUAUUAAUUUUUGAGAGUGCUUACAUCUUUCUUGUCAAGGGGUGUUAAGAAAGGAUCUCGAAAACUUAGUCCUGCAACAAUGGUUGAAAUCGGAUCCAGGCAAUUGAAGAUAGCACCUAAAACGAGCAUCUUUCCGAGUUUAGGCUCCACGGGAAGCCUAGUCAAGUACUUCCCUGAAGGAAGACAAAAACUUGAUCUUGUCAAUCACAUUACCGAGAUCGAUAUUUUCUGCUUCAACGAAGUAGGAGUUUUACCCAGCACAGUCAAAUCUUCUUUUUUAUCCAAGGCGCCUAUAACUUUCAAGUACUCAAUAGCUUUCUCAACCUAGAAAUACAAAAACGGUCACAAUUUUGCCAAAUGAUUCAAACUACUGUACACAAAAGAAGUUAAAUUCAUGUACCGCCAGUAGCUCGGGUGAUUGCAAAGCCUUAGACAGAAACUCAGAGAUACUUCCAAGUUUCAAACUCUUGAUUUGCAAACAGAGUGACUGUAAAGGCGUUCUCAAGAUUUCUGGCAACUGAUACUCCGCAAAAGCAUCAUAUACACAUCUUGGAUAUAGAUGGUAACAUUCUCCCGGUUGAACCCGGCCAGCUCUUCCUCUUCUCUGGAGAACAGCAUAAAGCAGAGGAGGUGUCCAGUGACUGUGAAGUUAAGGAAUAUAUACGAGAAUCAUUUUUCAAACCGAAAAAGAAACUUACUUGUUGAGCAGAAACUUUAGAAAUCCAAGAAGGGAGCAGACAAGGAGUGUUGUUGAGAGCAUCGUAUGAAGUCUCCUUUGCUUUCCCACACUCAAUAACAUAAACAACAUCAUUUAUUGUGAGGCUUGUCUCGGCAAUAUUCGUGGCCAGCACUAUUUUUCUCACGCCAUAAGGUGGCACAUCAAAUAUUAACCUCUGCAUGCAUUUAAAAUAAAACAAGUAUGAAGAACAUUGCCUUGAAUUUUCGACAAAAUUACAGUAGAAUAGUAAAGCUACCUGCUCAGAGCUGGCCAUUGAGCCAUGGCAAGUGAGCAACAAGACUCGUCUAGGAUCUCCCAAGAUGGUAUGAGCUUGGAGUUUGUCCUUUAAAGAACUUAUGUCGUCAAGCCCAGUCAAAAAAACCAGAAUAGCACCAGGUCUCUCAUUUUCACAGAUGUAGCUCAGUAGAUACUCGAUCAGAUUAAAACCAAUGCAAUCAGGAUUCCAUAAAGACAGAGAAUCUCGAGUCUCUUUUCUGUAUUUCCUGAAAUCAGCUGUUCUGAGUGCAUCCUGAAAGCAAGUUUUCCGAAUGAGAAUGGAAAAUAUGGCGAGUCUUAAGUGGAAUAGUAAUGUCAAGAACUAACCUCAACUGCCGACGCAAUUUGGCUCUUUCUCCUUUUUGGACCUUGCUUAUUUAGUUUCCAUGCCCUCUCUUGACCAUAAUCGUCAAUUUGAUUGUAUGGAGUCAAACGGUAUCCCGUCAUUUCCAGAAUAUUUUCCAGGAAAUGAGUUUUCACUGGGAAUGUAAAACCCUGCAUCCAAAUACGACAUGUUUAUAUUCUUGCAAGCCCCAGAAUAGAAUGGAUAGUACACAUAAUGAUUUGUAGCGAAACAGAACAAAAAACAAAACAUUUCUGAAAGAUAACAUUUAACCAAGAAACGGUAGUUGAGGUCGUUAAAAUAUAAAGCUCUAUCAUGAAAGAAUGAUUAUUUCCAGCAAUGGAACUUACUGGGAUACGGAGAAUAGGAGCUCUGUUAAAGUAGGAUGAGAAAAGCUCCGCAUCAAGGGUUGCACUCAUCAGAACGAGCCUCAGGUCUGGUCGACGGGAUAGCAGAUCUUUAAGGACAAUAAGCAGAAAAUCUGUAAAAUAAUUAUCCAUGUUAGAAUUUAACUACUUAAUUUUCAAAUUAAACUUAUAAAAACACCUUACCUUCAUUCAUUCCACGCUCAUGAAUCUCGUCCACUAUCACAUGGCUUACUCCCUUCAAGCUUCGAUCCACAAGUAAUCUUCUCAAUAAGAUUCCUGUUGUGCAGAAGAGGAGGUGUGUUUCCCUGCCUUUAAUACCUUCAAGCCGAACCUUAUAACCGACCUUCACAAAACAGGUUAUAGAACUAGAUGACAGGAAAAAAAAAGCAAAUUUGUGCAAGUAUGCGGCCACUUUCACGUAGAAACAAAAACUUACAGAUUCUCCAAGUUUCUCUCCUCUCUCCGUAGCAACUCUUUCAGAAACAGAGAUCGCAGAUAUUCGUCUUGGUUGUGUGCAUAUAAUACUACAAGCAGCUCCACGAGCAGCAUCUAUUACAGAUUCCAGGAUAAACUGGGGAAUUUGUGUUGUCUUACCGCAACCAGUCUCACCUGAUAUGAUGACCACCUGUAAAUACCAAGUAACAUAAGUUCCUAUAGCCAUGAAACUUCCAAUCGUGAGACAAUUUGUGGCAGUAUCUUAUAAAGUGUGUAUGGCCCUAACAACAAACGGAUGCACGCAUAUAAAGAAAUACAGUGUAGGAUACAUUUUAAUGAGCUCAGAAACAAGCCAGAACAUUGCUUCAGAUAGAGCUUAUGCGAAGAGUAAAAACCUGAUUCUGUGCAACAGCUGUCAAUAUUGCAUUCUUCUCCUUGUAUGCAGGAAGGGUUUUUCGAAAUUCCAUCAUUUUCCUUCCUUCUGGAGACUCCUAAAUGAAUUGCAAAAGAAUCAGGAUGGUUCUAACCUCGAGAAAGAGAAAAUGUAAGGCUGCGUGUUUGAGAGAGAGAUGAACCUGCCAAGACAAUUGCUUAUCAUACAAAUGUUGACUUCUCCGCCGCAAGGCUUUCUCCAACACAAUAUUGCUAGAAGCCAGGGAUUCCGGUAGCUCAAACAGCCCUUCAUCAGCCCCAAGGCUACCACUACUGUUUGAUCUAGACAUAUCCAGACAGCAUUCCUUAGUCUUGGACUUUUGGAAGACAUAGUCUCCAAGAUACGUAUCAACUCUUUUCAAUACGCCAAGAGGCAAGCUAACCUGCACAUACAGAAAGCUCACUGAACUGUUUCUAACUCGUUGUAUAAAGGCUAUCCAAAAACACAAAAUGCCGCAAGAAAUACCUCCCGUUGAGGACGCUUAUCAUCCAAAUCAAAUCUGUAGUUCGGCAGUGGGACUUUGCUAAAGACAACAACUUUCACAUACACACGGCUGCCAAAACACAAAGAAGUGAUUAGUUAAACUAUCCAGUUUACAGAGAUGGAAUGAACAAUACUAAAGCACAGACACUAAUGAAUCGUUAUAUAUACAUACCUAUAUAGACCCAUUUUGCUUGCUAAAGCGGCUAGUUGCUCGAAAUCACGUCUGUCCUUUUUCUCCCUUGAUACCACUUCUUUCUUCUCUUUGUCACGCAAAAGCAUCGUGAACUUCCAUCUCCACUCUUCAGUGCUAUCAGACAUAUAAGUUCCCUGAAAAGAAAGGUCCUAAGCAGUCAACAGUAAGCAUGAACCGAAAUUGAGGAGCACUAGUACUAGAGAUAAAAGGGGGAGUAAUUUAGAGCAAAUUGAGAAGAUAAUUGUGGUUAAAGUUUGCUGCAGAGUAAUCCUUUGAUCAUGCCACAUAAAAUGCAAGAACAAAGCACAGUUAAGUAUUCCUUGAAUAAAAAAUGCACAAAAACUCGAAUUAAAAAACAGAAAGGAUGAUUCAAAAGUGAAAGGAAAAAGUGAACUCACUGAUGGGUGGGCUGGCAAGGACUCCAUAUCGUGAUCGGACCCGUCCACGGAGACAGCAUUGACGCAGGCAGAGGCAAAUUUCCGAAUCGGAUUCUUGUUACAGACCUCAGCAGCACCGCCAUUUCUCUGCUGAUGUUCUGUAGGGGAAGGACUGCUAGCCUUACUGCGGCUGAGAGCAGCGCAUCGACUGUCAGUAGUUCUGGACUCCAGAAGAUGAGAAGAUGCAGAGGAGGAGUUGAAAUUGGGGGAGACGAUCACGGAGCGGAGACGCUGGUGCGGAGGAACGUAAACGGCGCCGUAAGGGGACGGCGGCCUGUCUUUCAUCGGGAAGUGUGAGGGCUUUGGAGGAGGAGGAGCUGAGAGAGGAAAUUGGAGAGAAGGGGAAGUGAAGACGAGAGGGGAGAGCAUGCGCAGUCGAUGAGUUCUUCGGAGGAGGAGUUGGAAAUCCCUCCGGUGAGCGGCGGCGGCGGCGGCGGAGGAUGGAGAUUAAGUGAACUAUUUUUCAGUGUAACUUGGAAUCUCUUAGCCGUUUAAAACUCCGCUUUGCCGUUUUAUUUGUUUUUUGCUGUCGUAUCAUGGACUUCUGCACACGUGUACGGCAGUGGACCAGCCAGGUCAUUCUUUGCCUUCUCAGUCAGCACUUGUCAGUUACUCAGCUAUGACGUGGCAAGAAAUUGCCAAUUGUACAUAAAAAUAAAAGAAAUACUAUAUAUGGAUUGUGGAUGAAUAUCUAUUCGAGUCCUUAUACCAUUGGGAUUUGUGGUAAUUCAUAUUGAUUGAUUACUUUUAGUAGCGCAAUUACUAGACUUAAUGACUUGAUUAUGUGAAUGGUAAUUUUUUUUAUAGGGGAAACCAUCAAACUUUGAUAACAAUUACGUUAAAGUUAUUUCACGGGUUACAAUCUUCGAAAUCAAACUAAGGGUGCAAUUAAAUCACACGAACGCAUGAGGAAAAUAAUGGACCAUCAAAUGUGCAGCUCUAUUUACUUCACGAAAAGCAAAUGACCAGCCACGAACAUCACGAAAACGCUUUUUUAAAACCAAACAUGAUAGCUUUACCUUCAGCAAAGCAAUUGAGGUAGAUCAUUUCACUCUCUCGGUUUUAGCUGCAGCAACCACAACAUUUCCGUCCCAAUCUCUGAUGACACUUCCAAGAUCCGGCAUCUGUGUUCAGUUUGUAGACUCCGAUGGGCGGCUUCUUCCAUCUUCGAUCUCGAUUUUGCCAGCUGCUCCUUCAUCCUUUGAUCCUUACCCUGGAUUUCGAGAAAGUCUUGAAUGAAAUUUUCUGCCUUAGUUGUAAACCUCCCAAUCCUGCAGAAGUUUAUUGUUGAACAUCACAUUAUUCCUCUCCUUCCAGAAGAACCACAACAGGGCACCGAACUUCCCAAUCUCCUCCUCUGAACCCGUAACCCAUUACCUUAUGAAGCCAAGCCUUACAAGUCUCGUUUUCCGCCAAUUCGAACAAAUGAGCAAUCGGAGUAUGUCUCCAAAUUCUUGAAACCCAGUUGCAAUCGGCCAGGCAGUGCUUCAAGUUCUCAGUCAUACCACAGUUAGGACACCGGAAGAAUGUUGUGACCGACUUUCCACAGUAAAACCUUGAGCUUGCUAGGGAUGUUCAUUUUCCAUAUUUUCUUCCAGCAUAAAACAUCCUCCGGAGCACAGCCAGAACUUCCUUCAUUCUCCUCUGAUUGUCUCUUCAGCUCUACGUAGUAUCCUGAUUUCACAGAGAAAUUUCCUCGAUCUGUACCAGUCCAACACAAAGAAUCUUUCUCGAUGGAAGCGGAGAGGAGUAAUGCCAAGAUUGCCUGUUGUUCUUCCGCAGAAUACAGAGACUCCAGCAGCUGCCGAUUCCACGUCCUAGUUCCCUGGUCAAUGAGGCUGGAAACUUUUGCAUUCCAGUCAAAGGUUGGGCAGUAAGACACCACUUGGUUCCCAUCUAGGCCAGGUACCCAUUUAUCUCCCCAAACACGAAUGUCCUCUCCUGAUCCAACUUUCCAUCGACAUCCAAAGCGAAGGAGAUUUUGAGCUCCAAGGAGGCUUCUCCAGAUAUAGCUCGGCCUCCAACCAAGUUUUGCUUCGAAGACUGAACAUUUAGGAUAGUACUUGGCCUUAUUGGUUUAAUCCUUUGUUGUACCCGUAUUAACCAUGGUGGAUCAUAGUUAAUUAUCUUCUAAUAAUAUGGUUAAUGUUGGACUGCAGCAGGAAUGGGUUCGUAGAGGCUACUGAAUUAUCCACCAUACGGCUCCAAUGACGAUGAGUUUAUGUAGCUCGGGGUAAUAUCGAGUGUAGAAAUAACGCAUGUCUAUCCAUGACUCAGAAAAAUAGCGGAUGUUAUUUUUUUGUUAGACGGAAGUGAAAUGGGAUUAAUUUGGAGAUGUAAUUGUGAGCAAUAAAGAUGAACGGUCCAAUUGAAUAACAGUAGAAAAAGAAUAAUAAAGAACACAUAAACAAAAAUUAAAAACACAAUUACAAUGAUUGUCUAAAAAUGGUUGCAUGAACUCUCUCAACUUAGUUGAAAUUAAUGGUGGCAUGAACUCUCAAACCUUAGUUAAAUGUAAAAUAAUAAUGGUAAUGAGCACGUCAAGAUGGUCAAUUAUUAUUCCAAACCUAAUUCAAACCAAAUUUCUCCCUUUCACACCUUCCCCUGGUGGACUAUUCUUAUAGUCUAUUAUUAACUUAAAAAAUGUUAACCUUUCACAAUUUCUCACUCACAAUUUCUCCAAUAUUUACUCUAUUUUGCAAUACUUAGUAUCAACAUGCACAUUCAUAACAAAUCAGUGACCAAAGUGGAUAUAUACCCCUCAUCUUCGUCUCCUUCUUUCCCUGCAAUUUCUUCCGCCAAACCCAAACCCCGAAUAUCCCGUAACCCAUCAAAGCACAUCUUCCCUGGUUGACUUCGCUCCCAAGAUUUGAUCUUUUCGAAAAACCCUUUAUAUAAUCUUUCUCCAUUGAUCGUAUUCCUCCAUUACCAAUUCAAACCAAUCAGAAUGCCUUCUUCCUUCUCCGCACUUUCCCUUCUCUUCAUCUCAUUCCUCUUCUCAUCAUCCCUCCAAGCAUCAUCGGAGCUCAGCCAUCUCCCUAGACCUCUGAUCCUCGAACACCCACAAACCCAACAAGCCAAUCUACAGUGCGACAGCUGGAGAAUCGCAGGGGAGGCCAACAAUUUGAAUCCGUGGAAGACCGUCCCGGAAGAAUGCCAGGACUACGUCAAAGGCUAUGUCACCGGGAGGGGAUACCUUGUCGAUCUCGAAAGGGUUUCCGAUGAGGCGGUGGCUUACGCCAAGGGAUUGAAGUUGGGGAAUGAUGACGGGAUGGAUGUUUGGGUGUUUGACGUUGACGAGACUUUGCUCUCCAAUCUUCCUUAUUAUGCUCGGCGUGGAUUCGGGUUAGUUUUUCGAAAUUUUGUUGCUUUUCUUUGGUUAGAUGAUCAUUUUUUAGGGGACAAUGUGAUUGAAUAUAACCUCUCUGCAAGUUAGGCUAAUGUGAAAUAUAGCUUGUUCUUAGAUACAGACAUGCUAUAUUAGUCUCGAAAAUCUUCAAUUCGUUCCUCAAGCUGAUCCAGUUCAGCUGAAAGCACCUCAUGAUUUUGAGAUAUAAUCGCCCAAAUCAUGAUUUGAUCAUAACCUCUCUGCAAGUUAGGCAAAAUGUAGCUUGUUCUUAGUUACAUACAUACAUGCUAUUUUAGUCUCGAAAACCUUCGGUAAUACCUCAUGAUUUGAUGCCAUUGAGCUAUAUUAUAUCUUCAAAACCCUGUUUAAGUUCGUUGUUUUGCGGUUGAUUGGCUCAAAUCAAUAGAUAAAUUUGGUAUGAAUCAUGAGUUUGAACAAUCAUGUUAUGUUGUUGUGCUUUUGCUUUUAAACCUCUCUGCAACUUAGGCUAAUAUAGCUUGUUCUUAGUUACAUACAUGCUAAUUAGUAGUUUCGAAAAUCUUCUUCCACCCAUCAAGUUGAUCCAGUUCGGCUGAAAACACCUCAUGCUUUGGUGCCAUUGAGCUAUUAUAUCUUCAAAUCCGUUGUUUUUGCGGUUCAUUGGCUCAAACUCAGAAACUGAAAUUUGCCAAUGACUGGAUAUGAAUCAUAAGUUUGGACAAUCAUGCUUUAAACAUCGGAGUUUUAGAUGUUCAAUCCUUCUUGAUCCUCAUUCGGUUCGAAUUCGAACAACAUUGCUACCUAGUUUUUACCUUUAGUUGGUUUGUUUAACAAAUACUAUAUAUACAACAGGUCAGAGGUGUUUGAUGCUGUGGAUUUUGACAACUGGGUGGAUGAAGCAGCAGCGCCUGCUCUGGAGCCAAGCUUGAAACUUUAUCACCAGCUUCUGGAGUUGGGCAUCAAAAUCGUUCUUCUGACUGGCCGCAGCGAGUCCCAGAGAGUCGUCACCGAGGAAAACCUGAGAGUUGCUGGUUUCUACAUCUGGGAUAGACUUAUCUUGAGGUGUGUUUAUUACUGCACUGUGCAAAAAUCCUUACUUUUCAGUUAUCCUUGUGAAAGACUAACUAACAGCUGAGAGAUUCUUUCUGCAGAGGUUUAGAAGACCAUGGGAAACUCGCGGCAAGGUACAAAUCAGAGAAGAGAAGUUUGAUGCUGGAACAAGGGUACAGGAUCAUCGGCAACUCGGGAGACCAAUGGAGUGAUUUGUUAGGAUGCCCUAUCUCGAACCGGUCGUUUAAGAUCCCUAAUCCUAUGUAUUUCAUCUCUUGAAAAGUGUAAACUCCCCCCAAUGUAACUAUAAAUUGUUGAUGUAUAGGUGGUCAUUGGAGUUGAUGAUGCUGAUGCCCCAAUAAGGCAAUAUAACUGAUUAUUACAUCAGCAUCAAUCGAUCAAUUUGUAAUGUAAUUGAAGAAAACAUGUGUUUAUUGGCUUGUUUUGCUGCUUGGAUCGUGCUUAGCUCGAUUUGUCAAUUUGCUACGACGAACACUGAGGCAUUUGGCAAUGACGAGAUCGAUUGCGGACUCUUUUGAAGCUGAUGUACACCUUUCGAGUCCAUCAAGAAAGUGUGUUUUUAAUUACAUCCACACCUGAAGUUGUAACGAUUGAAUAUCACACGGAUUGUAAUAUUUGGAACUCGGAAGGGGUCUAUAAGUACCAAUAACGAAAUUCAUGACAGAAAUACAUAGCGUACCAAACGACCCCUAAAAACCAUCUGAUUCCCUUAUGUGCUCACAAGAGAGCUACGCCCCCACACUUUUAAUAGCUAUUAUAUCCCUUGACGAACAUACCUUUCUUGGCAUCAUCGCUCUCACCAUCAGCACUGUACUUCCCGAGCUGAGCAAGAGAGUUCGCCUUGGCGCGAACCAGCAGCGCCUUCUGUGCAGCCUCGACGUUCUCGGGCUGUCCUUUCCACGUCUUGAGCACGCUGUUCUGCAAUGCUCGUGCGUACGAGAACGACACAUGCCACGGGUUGGGGCUCUGGUUCAUUGCGUUCAGGUUCAGGGUCGCUUCGAUCUCCAAUUGUCCUCCCGACAAGAACUGCAAGAGAAAGAGAGACAAAUGAGGCUCUAUAACAAUCAGUCCGGCGCGCAAAUAGAGUUCCAACUCAGUUCCGCAACGUGAAAACCAUUGAAGGCAGAGUUUAGUUUACAGAAGCCACAUACCAUGAUUCCAGGAACUGCAGGAGGUACCUCCUAAGAAUUGUGAGAGUGUGGUUUGCUAUUGUAUCUGGAUAAGCCUUCUCUUUAUGCUCGCCCCCCCCCCCCCCCCCCCCCCUCCCCCGCCUUUCCCCCUCAUCCCUCUCUCUUUCAGGCUUCAACAGGAUGCCUUCGUAGACAACAUUGUUCUGCGCCAAGUAGAAAAAAGACCUCUGACCAGACUUUCUCUGCCACCUCCAGAGUUCUUUCAAUCCCAUGAUCCCCAUCAAGCAGAAUCUCUGGUUCCACUAUAGGGACAAGCCCAUUAUCCUGAAAAGAACCCAACUCUAUGAUUUUGAUGCAAUCAAAGACUAUUGACUUUGACAGCAAGGAAACUUUAUAAAGGGAAAAACUCCAUUAAAGGCAGCACACUCUUGGCAAUGUAGAAACAAGAUAGUACCUGAGAAAUGGCAGUAUAUCGUGCAAGCCCCCAUGCAACUUCCUUAACAGCAAGAGCAGAAGGACCACAAGGAAUACUAACAACUGUCCUCCUGCAUAUAUCACAAGUAUAACCAAUCCAUCGCACAGAAAAAGAGUCGGUUCCUCCUUUCCCAAGGUAUGAAACUCAGCUUGUUUAUCUCAGCUGAAAGCAUUCAAAUUGUAAAACUAUCAACUGAUAUACUUACCACUUGGCAAACCGAGCUCCUUGCUUGUAAUAUUCAGAACUCCUCGACGCCAAACCAUCCAAUCCUUGGCACCAGGACUCAUUGUUCGACCCUGGUAAAGGAACCAAACCCUGUAAAAAUCAGCAACAACAUCAGCACAAUGAAUGAACAUCCUGUGCAGAUCACACAGAAUAUCACACAAAUGCACCUUGUCAACUUUGAUUAGGGGACGAUGUUCUGAUCAACCAAGCAGUCGACAAACUUCUUGCCAUCAGUAGUGGACUGGUAAAGCGUCUCCUCGAACAGGAUAGCGCCAGAGAUGUAUUCACCAAGGCCAGGAGUUGUCAGCAAAAGCUGCCUGUAAGCCUGCCUGUUGGUCUCCGUGAUCUCCAACCCUAUGGAGUCCAAUCUCUUCCCGCAAGUAGCGUUCGAUUCAUCGAUCGCCAGGAUCCCACGGCCAGGCAAAGCAAUCGUUUUCUAACAGAAAACAAUUCAAAAAUCAGAAAACGACAAAACGGAGAUUCAUAAGAAGGAAAAAGACGACAAAUUGAUCAUAGCAGUCAGAUCAGCUUAACAGCUGAGAGCACAGGGGCGGAAUGUCAAUUGAAUAUUGACCGGAGAGGGGAAUGGGAGGGGAGAGGUUUGACGUACGACGGUUUUGACGAGCUCGUCGGUGUAGUGUCCGGCGGCGCGGACGCGGAAGGAGACGCAAGAGGAGGAAGACAGGGGGCGGGAAGCGAAGGACUGGCCGCUGAAAAAAGCGGAGGAGGUGUCGAGCUUAGUGAGACUAGCUGAGGACGCCAUGGCGGAGGUCCAAUCAGAGGAGGCGGCGGAGAAAGUUGGCGGCGGGAGAUUUUUUGAGGCGGCGAACGAGAGGGAAACUGGGGAUUGUUUCGUUACUUAGUUAUAUACUCCGGAAUUUUUUUGUCUUUUAGGGAGCAGCUUGGCUCCAAAACUAUCGAAAAUCACGACUCGAGUACAUUUCAAAUGAGUUGAUUCGUAAAUGAGUCGAGUUUUGAGUUGAUUUUGGUUUGACUUGUAAGCCCGUAAGCCGUUUCAUUUAGAUAGCUUCCGACCUGAUUCAAUAAGGAUUUGAACCUUGAUUAAUGGCUCGUUAGCUUUCUCAUAAUUAUGAGUUCUGAGAUUUAAGUUUAUUGUAUGCAUGUUUGAUUCGAGUUCAAAUUCAAACUCAACUUACGAAAGUUGAUUUUUGCAAUGAUAAAACAUUUUUUCUUUUAUUAAAUUAAUCAAUAUAAAGUUUGAUAUAUCAUGUAUAUACUUAAUAUCUAAUAAUUUCUCCACCCAUCUAAACCCAUAAAUACUCUUAUCAUAUUAUAUUUGUCUUAUUUAACCACUUUGACCGCAAAAAUAUUAAAGUCCGGUGGAUCGAAUUUACCGGUGAAUGAGGGAGGAGCCCUAACAAGUCAGAGGAGGGGAAGGCCCGAUCGUUGGCCAGUCCUGUCAAUAUGCUUAAAAUGCUCAUAAGAUCGGUGCACUAAAAUAUUUAAUGCUUGAUUCGACGGAACUCUAACUAAUCAUUAAUUUGGUUUGUAUGAAUAGAAAAUUUUGUAAUUCGAUAGAAAUUCAUUACUCUCUAAAAUCAAGUUGUAUUUUUUUAUGUAUUAUUUUUGUUGAACUCGAAAUACUCUCACGAUUUAGUAUCCGUGACCAGUAUAAUAGGAUUCAAUCAAAUAACCAUUAUUGGUUCUAAUAGUCAUUAAAAAAAGAAGAAGGCUAAACUGUGAUUAACGAAAAGUUGAGGUACCAAUACUUGAAAGAAGAACACAGUCUCCGAAGAAAACACAGACCGAAUCCUGUCCCUUGAGAGGUUCAGAGUUGCAGAGAGUGACUCUCUACUGACUCACUCCACUUCAUCACCUUUAGACUCUUCUUCUUCUGGGUUCUCUGCGUUAAACCAACACCACCUUUCUCCUCCCUUCCCUUUUUCCCAGCUCUUCCUGUAGCUCGUGUUUCACCCCCGGAUCGCCCCACCUCCGGCGAUCCUCCUCCACUUCCCUCCGCCGCCGUACUCCGUAAAGGCCACUCCUUUCCCUUUCCCCUUCAUCAUCUUCAUCAUCAUCUCGCUGUAGAGUGUACAGAAGGGUUGAAAUCUUCGAGGAGAAAGAUGGAGCUGUACAGUCACAACCAGUCGCAAUCCGGACAGCAGACUGACUGGACUCCCGCCGGACCAGAAACUGGCCUCGAAGGUCCGGUUUCGCUUCCGAUUUCAUCCCGCAUUUCUGAUUUUACAGCCUUUUGUUUUCAUUUCAGCAGCUUUUCGUUGGUUCUGCGUUGGAUCUUUUGAAAUUUUAAAUGCUGCUUAGGGUUUUGAAUUUUUUGUUGGGUGUACGGAUGCAGACUCGAUGUGGAGAUUAGGGCUGACGAGUAACGAACCGUAUCCAGAGCGGCUUGGCGUCGCCACUUGUGUUUACUACAUGCGUACUGGAUUCUGUGGGUAUGGUGCUCGGUGCAGAUACAAUCAUCCUCGUGAUCGAGCUGCGGUACGUGAAUUUUCAUGUUGGUACUAGUACAAUCUACUCCCUUUUGGUACGAUCAUUCAUAGUUAGGCUACUUAACCCUGCAGAUGUGAAAUGCAUGCCACAAAUUGAUGAUCUUUCCCUGAGUGUAGUUAACUAGUUAUAUUCUCAGAUAGAUGGGAGUCGUAACAUGAGAAAUUGGGUACUUAUUGGCCCGAACCAUGGACGAACACGAUUUGUGAACUGAUGUCUACUAGUUUAUUGGUUUCUUGAUGCUGGUUUAGGUUGAGGAAGCUGUGAGAGCAACUGGGUUGUAUCCAGAACGGGCAGGGGAGCCUCAAUGUCAGGUGUGGUUGCGAACUUCGUGCUGUGAACGUUUCCGGAUUUUGAGCUAAGUGUGCGUUUGUCUUUGCUGAACUUUCUGAAUUUUGAAUCGAUGCAGUUUUACUUGAAGACUGGAACCUGUAAAUUCGGUGCAUCUUGCAAGUUCCACCAUCCCAAGCAUAGAGGUGGAUCCUUGAGCAAUGCUUCUCUAAAUACACAUGGAUACCCGUUAAGACCGGUGUGGUUCCACUGAAUUGAUUUUCCUCAACUCUUGUUUCGAAGCAGAUAAUUUUUCGUUCUGAAUUUUUUUACCACCAUGAUAGGGUGAAACUGAAUGCUCCUACUAUUUGCAAACGGGGCACUGCAAAUUCGGUUUGAAUUGUAAAUUCCAUCACCCUCAGCCAGCUGACUCAGCAUCUGCACCCCAGUUUUAUCAGCAGGUGCAGUCUCCUUCUACAAACUUGAGAGUGCGACCUCCAAUCCUACCCGGCUCGUAUAUGCAGGGUACGUACGGGCCUCCUAUGUUGCUUCCUCCUGGAGUGGUACCUAUUCCCGGUUGGAGCCCUUACUCGGUAAAUUGGAUUAUCUCAUCUGUUUUGUGAUAUUUAUGGAGUAAUGGAUUUCCAAUACUCAGUUGUUGCCUUUAUAUGGUGUCAGGCACCAGUAAGCCCGGUGCUUUCCCCCGGUGCACAAACUGCAACCUCUUUAUAUGGAGUGACUCAACUGUCUGCUACGAGUCCCGGCCCUGCAAGACCUUAUCCCUCCCUACUGUCGUUCGGUUCCCCCUCGAGGAGUAGUACCCAGAAGGAGCCGAGAUUUCCUGAGAGGCCUGGUGAACUUGAAUGUCAGUACUACUUAAGGACCGGGGACUGUAAAUAUGGCUUGGCUUGCAGAUAUCAUCACCCUCAUGAUCGCGCUGUUCCUGUUUCGGAUAGUAUGCUCAACCCCCUUGGCCUUCCUUUGCGCCCGGUAUGUACAUUUAUUCAUGGUCUUCAUUCAAAGUUCGUAAUGUAGAAUCUUAACUAGAAAGAAUCAUCAAAGUUGGUCGCAUCAAGGAUACUGGAGUGUUGUUGACUUCCGGAGAUAUACAUUAGUUAUUUCCGGAUUUCGUUAGUUAUCUCGAUCUGCAAUUAUGAAUUCCUCGUUGAAUCAGUUGUUACAUUGGAUAUGACAAGUUUGUUUUCACUCAUUUGUUGAAAACAGGGGACUCAACCAUGCAGUUUCUACAUGCAAAACGGCUACUGCAAAUUCGGCUCCACAUGCAAGUUCGAUCACCCGGUGGGUGGAGCCGUUGGAUACACUCCACCCACCGCGGCAUCUCUAAUCGACAUGCCGCCUGUUGCACCGUAUCUAGUCGGGUCUCUACUGGCUACACUAGCCCCUUCUUCCCCUUCCUACGAGCUUAGACCCGAACUGAUGUCAGCCCCCAGAAACGCAUCCAACAGUUCGGUCGGGUUGAUCUUCUCGCAGACCGGAUCGCUUCCUCCGUUCACCGACUUGCAGCUCUCGAGCCAGACUUCACUUCCUUCGACUUCUAGCAGAAGCACGAGACACGGUGUCGAGAUGCGCCGUUCUUUCUAGCUAUAGUUUGAAGGAGGCCACAUUCUUCAAGCCCUGUUUGAUAUUUAUGUGUUAGGAAACUUAACUGAGAUGCAGCCACCUUUGUUUUAGUUUGUUCAGAAGCUUGGUGUGUUUAGAGUAAAUAUUUAGUAAUCACUGGUGUUAAAAUGGCCUGUUAAGCUAGCUUGGAACUUGGGUUUGUGAUGUACCUUGAAAUAUUGACUUGAAGAUCCUUGGUGUUAACAUGUAGUAUGAUUUUAUGGUCCGGUUGGAUGGAAUUUAGACGGCCAGCAAAAACUUCAUUUUUCAAAAAGAAAUUCAUCAAGUUAGAUUUCAAGUUUUAUUCAACUUGCAACAUCAAGCAUAUAUAUGGCUAGAGAGUAUGUAACGGAGUACUUGCAAAGCAGUCGAGGGUGUGCAAAUGGAAAUUCGAGAAGACCACUCGUGUUCUAUUACCAAAUUCAAACAAUCAGCCGUGAAGCAUAACUACGAAAGGCAACACACCAUACACAAUUAAGUAUAUAUGAGACUCGAAAGAGGAAAUCAAUACCGGUUUUAGCACAUCCUUUCCUACUUGGAUUUUGUUCCCUAGUUAAGCUGCAAUAGUAUACUUCAAUUAAUCAAAUGGAAAAUCAUACACAAGAAUUUCCAGGAAAAUAGUAUAAACAACCACCGGCCCUCUAUUCGAUCCGGUCACAAAAUCAGUCCUCGACGAUUGGCGGCAGUUGGAGGCGCUUCUUCCACGUGGUCUUCCCCCUUACGAUCUCUCCAUAGUCUUGCUUAUCGUCGGCCAGCUUGGUUCGGAGCAAAUGUGUGAAUCUCGGGGUUUUUCCGGCCAUGAGGCCGUUGCCUUCCAUGAUCUCUGCCGCCAAAGUGAAGCCAUUCAAAAGGCCAAUGUUCAUGUUAUUGCCACUGAAUCCGUUUUGAAGGAUGUCGAUCCCUUGGAUGAUUUCGUCAUCGGGAUUGCAAAGAGACUCGACUAUGUCCGAACUCCCGCAUUCUCUUCUGUACUCUAGUAUGAUCCCCGAUAGCUGGUGCUCCUCGACAAACUCGUCCGGGAUUGUCUAGAAAUUGGUUAGUGGUUAGUGAUUUGACUCAAAUUGUGAUUUGGGUAACCGUGCUAAUCGGAUGAGAUUUUUAUUACCUCGAGCAUCCAUUUGACGUACUUGACGUUAUUGACAUGUUGGUUCAUGUCCAAGUCGCCCCUCCUUGGCUGUGAAAAACAUUUAAUCAGUCGGCGAGUGACUUAAACGUAAUGAAAGAAAGAUUACGGAUGAUCAAGUAGUAAUAGUAGUAUAGUAUACUAUAAACAAGAAACCUUGAGGUUAGUGUUGACAUAUUUAGCAUUGUCGUCCAACUUGAUGAUUUUUUCAACGGCGGUAUCAUCCUGCUGGAUAAUGGCUUGUUUCUCGAUGAACCAAGGCGAUAUCUCGUCCCUAACUUCCUCUGGCAUUUUCGACAACCGCCUCGUUUUCUCGUUCAUCAUCACCCACGUGCUGCAUUUGUAUAAUUCGUUAUAAAAAUCUAUACUUUUUCUCAUUGGUGACUCAAAUUGAACGAAAAUAUCCAACACGAACCUAGUGGCGCGGGCGAAGACCUGGCCAGUGGACUGGCUACGAAUGAGCCAAUCCCGUCGCAUCCCGUUCUUCCCCGAUGCUCCGACCCACGUGUCAAUGUCCACUAUCUCACCCCUAGUUAGAAUAACGAAUCGAAUCAUUAGUAUAGUUCAUACUUCACACAAUUGGCUAUGGAAACAAUGGGAGAUUCUCUUGGAGGAACUGAUGAACAAACGCCGCCAAAUUAGAUUGAUAUUUUUGCUAUAAUAGUCCAAGGAAUCUUUCUUGUAAUCUCAAACGGAAUCUACCUAUGAUUAUGUCUACCAUUCAUUUAAAAAAAAUAACAGAAUAAUAUACGUAUAUUUUGUGUAGAAUACCUCGCAUGCAUAAUCAUUCACUAGAGAAUUAAUUAUUAUUGCAAUUUUCCCAUCAAGUAUAUAUGAAAAAUAGUUUAGCUUAGCUAGCUAGACACCUGGCUUUCAUCAUAAUCAACCACGUGGCACAAUAUGGAAUUAUUAGUGGUAAAUUAAAUAAAUUAAAUCAUCGUUAUUAAUGGUGGGAAAGCUAGCAUCUUUAGUAUAUAUUGUCUCGAUCAUCAACCCACCAAAACAACUCAAGAAACCGAUGCUAGACACAUUUGGUUCGGUCAAUAUUCGAACCGAUUCAGUCCAACGUGAUUCAUAACUCAAAUGGAUCAAAAUUCCAAAUUUUAUAAUUCCGUUCCGGAGAAAAGUUUCUAAAUUCUCCAACAUGACUAGCUCAACCUAACUAAAUUGUGACUCGUAAUCCAACUAACUUGCAACCUGACUAAUCCAUCCAUUUCAUAGCUCUAGAUAUAUGAAACCAAUUUAAAUGAAACCAUGCUUACCAGAUAGGAUAAUGAUCGACCUGAACUUGCAUUCUCGAAACAACCCAAAUCAAGUUGUUCCUCACCAUCCCAUGGGUCGCCCCGAACCCGUUUCCAAGUAGCCCCGACAUCCACACAUGAUUCAGUGCUGUUUCCUAUCAACAUAAAACCGACCCCGUUUAGUAUCCAUUUUUAUCUGUCACGAAAAAUAAAAAGAACCGACUUUUGAAGUAAAAAAGAUACCUGAAGAAGGUUGAGGAGGCUGUCGAGGGUGGUGGUCUUGUCGGGCCCCACCUCGUAAGAUCGAACCACGACGGUCUGCCUAUAAGCUACGCCAUCGUCGACCAUGAGACCCUGCCGGUGUCGGUCCACGUACUUCUUCUCCGUCGGUAUGUUCUGCCUCGUGCUCUGUUUCCCCACCACCGUGAUGUUAUUGUUACGAUCAUGUUGAUGAUCAAGCUUGAUCGUGGUGCCUCCUCCUCCACCGUAGGAUGGUGAAGCUGAAACUGACGACGACUUGACGCCGUUGAUCUUGAUCUUCACAUUGUUUGAUCUGUUCCGGCUGUUCACUUCUUCGCACCUGAUCGUUGGGACACGCAGGCAGAUUGUGGUGUUGUAGGAGAAAACUGAAGACAUUUUUGACCGUUUUGACCUUUGAUUUAAUUGUGAAUUAAGCUUUGAUGUAUUAAUUGUGGGGUUUUAAUUUAUAGGUGGGAGGUGGUGGGAAGAUUGGGGAAAAGGACAGAAAUGUAAUUUAAUUUUUCCCAUGGUUUGUUGGAGGGUAGCAAUAUAUUAGCAUAGAUAUCAAAGAAAAUUGGCAUAGCUUGUAGUGUUGUGGAAUUUGAUUUAUUUUAUUUUAAUUAGUGUGACGUGUUGCUAGAUUUUUCUGAUGGAUGUGAGUAUAUUUUACCCAUCCGGUCGGACCUAUAUUUCGUUCAUAAUCGUUUGAGUAUUCUAAAAUUUCGAGAUAAUAAGAAAAUAUUUGAGUACUUUAGAGUCUAGACUGGUAGAUAAAAAAUGACUCUAAUAGGCGGAUUGUUAACCCCCACAACUUCUAUAGGAUAUAUAUACCAUGAUAAUUGACGGAGGACUUAUACUCAUAUAAGAUAUGAAAUAUAGGUGAAUUUUUUAGUAUAUCUAGUAUAUCGAAAUUUUUGGUGUGCCCAAUUGUUUUUGGUAACGUAAAUCCAUCACCAACGUCCAUUUUCAAUUUGGCGAUCUCGACGAUUCACAAUUAUUCGAAUAUUAAAUUUCUAUUUCACUUUUUAUUUUUGAUCUCGUAUAUUUUACGAGCAAUCCAUCCCUAACCAGCAAAACCUGUUUCCACAGCUUGUCAAUCCCGUAUGCCUUCCACUUAGACUUCUCUGGUAAUUUCUCAACUGCAGAAUCAUAAGGAUUCUGGGCAACCCUGCGAACCCAAUUUAGUAUUUGACAUGCGUUCUCUUGCUUUCUAUUACGAAAACAAACGGACUCCUCAACCGCAUUAAGAUCCAACAUGUCAUCAAUAUCCUCAUUAUCACCAUGUUUCCUCAUCCUAUCCGUUCCUACAAAGACACUCUUGAUAUCCUCCACAUCUCCAACUUUCAUGCUUCCAGUUAAACCAGAUGCCAUCAUUUCGUCGAUAGCUGUGCAAUUGUUGUUUCCUCAAAGAGGAGAAUCCGUUCGAGUUUUCUUUAUGACGCGCUUCCUCGAUCUCUUUGGUUCCACCGUAUCAACUGCACUCUUCGUGUCCAGUUAACUAGAAUAUUGCUCGCCAGAAGAUGAAUUAGCUUUCUUAUCAGGACUCAACUCACAUUCAAGUUGUUAUAUAGGAAUUAAAGAGAGUGACUAGUUUAUAAAUUGAGAAAAUAUAUGAAAUCAAAAAUAAAGUGUGAAAUAGAAAUUUAAUAUUCGAAUAAUUGUGAACCGUCGAGAUCGCAAACUAAAAAUGGACAUUGGUGAUGGAUUUACGUUACCAACAAAAACUAGGCACACUGAAAUUUCAAUAUACCAGGUAUACUGAAAUAUUCACCCUAAAUAUAUUAUAAUUGACGGAUAACUCACACUUAUGUGAGGUACUAUAGCACACCGUUCUAAACAACUUUCAAUCAACGAUAGUUAACACUUAACAUAUAGCAUUUUAAAUGAAACACAUUAUAAACACGAAUGAGUAAACUAUGAUUUAUGUUAGCUGAAUAAUUUGUGACUCGAUUAACUUUUAAUUUGGGCUAUAGUUGAUUUAAGUGAAGGAUUAUUUAUUUUAAUAUGUAGAAAAAGUAAAGGCAAGGAGAAGAAAACUAAGGAGGGUUUCAUUUGGUCUAAGAAUCUUCAAUAUUUUUUUACAUAUGAAAAGGUUAAAUGAAUCUAAAUGAAUAUUUGUGUGAUUUUGUCUAGCCACCUAGGAAGGAUCGAUAAGAAAUAAAGGAUGAUGUUAAUCACUAUUCACUAGAGGUAAUUUUCUUCAGUGGUCCCUUAGCUUUGUUUUAUUACAAAAGCGUCCCUUUUUUAUUAAAAUCAACAAAGUCAUCCCGUGUUAGUCCUUUUGUUGUCAGUUUUCGUCGAUUACUCUGCCAUGUCAGCCCGCUUAUUCACCAAAAAAAUAGACAAAUGUGAAGUUAAGAAUGAAAUUGUCUUAUUAUGAUGGUUUUUCUUGAUAUUAAUGAUUUUUUUAAUUUGUUAAAUUGGUUGAUUUUUAAUAUGCGUGUUGAUAACGGUUAGAAAUUCAAACUUUACUAUGUCAAUCCAUCAAAUUUUAGCCAAAGAAAGUAAGAAACACUACUUUCAUUUUUUUGAACGGUUUUCCUUCAUUUCUAAAAAGGUGGCUAUGUGGAUUUCUAUAAAAAUUGACAAUAAAAAUCAAAUUGGCUAAUUUUUGGAAUGCGUGUUGGUAACGGCUAGAAAAUCAAAUUCCACAAUGUCAAGCCCUCAAAAUUUAGCCAAAUGAAAUCAAAAAGUCAUUUUCCGUGUAUGUUUUUAAGAGUGUUUUUAUUUUUCCUAUGCAUAUAAGGCAUUAGUUAUAUCGAGGGUAAAUAACUUUUUUUUAUGUUGGAAAUAUAAGUUGGCAAGUUCUUUAAUUCCAAUCUUGAUUCCCAUGCAAAUAAAAUGUUUCAGCCUUGAUUAUUCAUAUGUAAGAAGAGUAUGUACAAACGUAUUAAUUAGAUGAUGUCAGUCUUAUUAUUGGCCGAUCUUUCUUUANNNNNNNNNNNNNNNNNNNNNNNNNNNNNNNNNNUCGACAAUGCACACAAACGCAAUAAAGAACGAAACAAUUACUAAAUCCAAUCUAGCCUAAUCCCAUAAACAAAGACUUAUCUUCUUCCCUCCUCGCAAAUGUCUUUUUGCGACAGUAACCGUAGCAUAGAUGUGCUUGAUUUUCAUACCUAUGAAAUGGAUCAGUUAAUUUUAGUAGAAAAUGACUCUUUUGUACAAAAGCAAAAUAUAAGGGACCACUAAAGCUAAUUAUCCGUACAAAAGGUGUAAAUAGUAACUAGUAAAAAAGUCAGGAGUUCAGCAUCUUUCUGGACCUUUGUCUUGUAAAUUUACCAACCUGACAAACAAAAUUAANNNNNNNNNNNNNNNNNNNNNNNNNNNNNNNNNNNNNNNNNNNNNNNNNNNNNNNNNNNNNNNNNNNNNNNNNNNNNNNNNNNNNNNNNNNNNNNNNNNNNNNNNNNNNNNNNNNNNNNNNNNNNNNNNNNNNNNNNNNNNNNNNNNNNNNNNNNNNNNNNNNNNNNNNNNNNNNNNNNNNNNNNNNNNNNNNNNNNNNNNNNNNNNNNNNNNNNNNNNNNNNNNNNNNNNNNNNNNNNNNNNNNNNNNNNNNNNNNNNNNNNNNNNNNNNNNNNNNNNNNNNNNNNNNNNNNNNNNNNNNNNNNNNNNNNNNNNNNNNNNNNNNNNNNNNNNNNNNNNNNNNNNNNNNNNNNNNNNNNNNNNNNNNNNNNNNNNNNNNNNNNNNNNNNNNNNNNNNNNNNNNNNNNNNNNNNNNNNNNNNNNNNNNNNNNNNNNNNNNNNNNNNNNNNNNNNNNNNNNNNNNNNNNNNNNNNNNNNNNNNNNNNNNNNNNNNNNNNNNNNNNNNNNNNNNNNNNNNNNNNNNNNNNNNNNNNNNNNNNNNNNNNNNNNNNNNNNNNNNNNNNNNNNNNNNNNNNNNNNNNNNNNNNNNNNNNNNNNNNNNNNNNNNNNNNNNNNNNNNNNNNNNNNNNNNNNNNNNNNNNNNNNNNNNNNNNNNNNNNNNNNNNNNNNNNNNNNNNNNNNNNNNNNNNNNNNNNNNNNNNNNNNNNNNNNNNNNNNNNNNNNNNNNNNNNNNNNNNNNNNNNNNNNNNNNNNNNNNNNNNNNNNNNNNNNNNNNNNNNNNNNNNNNNNNNNNNNNNNNNNNNNNNNNNNNNNNNNNNNNNNNNNNNNNNAUGUUUUUCAACAUGUUAAAAUAACGUCGAGUAAAAUUGAUUUUUAAUUAUGUUUGAUCAUUAUUUAUAUGGGUUAUUAUGAUGAAACUUGAUUUUUUUGCCAUUUCCAAUAUGCAUGUCAAAUAUUAAUCGAUUUAAAAUUUUAGAAAUUUUCUUGUGAAAAUGGUCGAUUUCUAUAGGGUUAAUCCUUUUGGAAAUUGACGAUUUUGACAUGAAAAUUGUAAAACCUUAAACAAAUUAAUAUUUGACAUGUAUGUUGGAAAUUGUUAAAAAUUAAAGUUAAGAAUAGCUAAAAAUUAAGAUUUAAUUAGAAAACAAUUUCUUGGGUAUCUUUGGAUUUUGGAUUCUAGCUAGCUAACCAUAGGGAACAGAAGUUGCCAUUUUCUUAGCUAACCAUAGGGAAGAGAAGUUGGUAUUUUCUUGGAGCUUUUUUGGAAAGAUAUCCAAUCGGAAAGAUAUCCAAAAGUCAUUCGUAAAAGUCAUUCGUACUUAGUUGUAUUGGAUAUUGGGGUCUUCAUCGCACCAUAACCCAAUCAAGUAUGUUGACUAUUUGAUUUGGAUUCAACUUGAUCCAAUCAGUGCUAGGAUUGAUGUGGAACAAGUUUGAGCCAGGCAUCCUUACACUUCUAUCAAAUUUUAAUUCGUUUAUACAAAAUUUCUUGAUAUAACAUAUAUACUUUGAAUUUUGUACGUAUUUAUCGUUGACCUUCACAUCAUUUUCUUAAUAAUGUUACUCAAUUAGACCUGUGAAGAGCUAACCUGAUAUAAUGAAUCUAGCUAAAGCCGCUAUGGCUCAAUCCGAUGAGCUAAUUAACCCACUUCAUGAGACUACUUUCUCAUGGUGAGUCCAUACACUACAUGUUGCCAAUUUUUGGUGAGCAACAAGUAAUUUGGUUUGCAAUUUUUAGAUAGUUGAGUGACUACUUUGCAAUAGUGUGAAUUAUUAUAAAAUUAAAUCAUUCGAGUUUGUAGAAAUUAUUAUUUAGCCCGUCAAAACUCUAUGAAGUGCGGAUUAGUACGCGACACGGUCUUCAUCCAGUCAGCGCCAUCUCCAAGGAUGAUUUCCCCUUCAACAGAUUCAAGAGAAUGGGCUGCCAACAGAAUCACAAGAAUGGAAAGGUAGUCUUAGUCAGAUGAACAUGGACUGAAAGUAAGAAGCAAGAUGCAAGGAACAUACGGGACAUGAACGAUAUGCUUCGAUCCCUUGUUGGAGCUCGAUGUGCGAGAUUAGACACUUUGCUGGGCGGAACUCCAAAGACUGACCAUUUCCUCGUUUGUCGAGGAAACAUAUCAGAUCACGCUGCAGAAGAUGUUCAAAUGCCUGCACAAAGAAGCCGGUAAGUCACAUUUCUCUACGCAAAAUUCGAAUGGUUCAAGCAUUCGGCAAAUAGGAAACCUCACCCUCAAGCAUACGUUUCUUGCAUAGUUAUCGGAUGCCUUGAAUUGAUCGUUGAUAGAUUUGUACUCUGCCAAUGUUCAACAAAUAUUCUCUUAGCUAUUGGAAUUCACUUUCGUGGUAAGUAUAUGAGCAACUAAUAAACUCUCACCUUUCAUGACAGAAUUGAAGUUAUAGGAGUUCUGCUCCUUCCAUUCCAAUCUCCUCAUGCAUACCAGCAUGAAGAGUUCCAGUAUAGAGCAAUCUGCGAGUUAGCACUAGGAUUAUACGAUGUCCAGCUUUAUAGGAGAAAGAACGAACAAAUUUUUCCAAGUCAGAGGAAAAGUUCAACAGACCUUUUAUGCAUUCUAGCUUUGGUUGCCUUUGGAAGCUUGAAAAUGCUGUCUUGAAAUUUUCAAGAGAUGGGUAGCCAGAUUUCAUAUCUAUCGAAGAGACGGCUAUAAACCUGCGAUGCUCGAGUUCAAGAACCAUGAAAUACUUUAAGCAUACAGUUGUUAUAGGUUGAAGAACUUACAGGAACCUCAUUAGGUGACUGACGGCAGAAUUGGAACUUAGAUAGUUAUUGAUGAGCUCUUUGAAUCCCUUAUCUGCUAAAACACUCUUACCAAAGUUGAAGAACAGUUUUAGUAAUAGAGGAAGCAGAAAUCACAUGAAGAAAUAAUCACAUGCAUUGAUGCAAGUAUACCUGGAGCUUUGCAUUGAAUUGGGUAACAUAAAGGUUGGGAAGAGUUGUGUCAGUUGGCAAUAGUAAGAUGUGUUGCAGCAACCUGCAUAAUUCAAAAUGAAUGCUUGAAGAUUAUAUCAGGUAAAAGAAACUGUCUUUCCCUCGUAAUAAGAUGUGAAAUUACCUUUCUAUGGUUUCUUUGGGUGGAGAAAGAAAAAGUAACUUUCUGUGCGAAAAACGUGAUCUUACUCUUUUUUCCAGAAGCUGAUCAGCAUCCUGCAAGCGAGGCUUCCAUUUUAGUCUCAAUUAAACACCAUUAAGGAAAUGAACAAUGAAUUGCAAAUUUCUACAGUCAUACCAAUUUACAACUGACACCGAUGAUGACGGCUUGAGAUGAUAUAGACUGCAUUGCGUCCAACAAGCUAUAAAGUAACCGUUGCUUUCCCUGAAAAUAUAACGAUACAGACAUUUUCGAUCAAGGAGCUCGGCUCAGAAGGCUAAACCAUUGAACAAAUUGAGUAAAGGAGUAUUACCUGUGCGAAUAGGUCAAACUCUUCAAGCACAAAGACAAUUGUUUUGUGAGCUAAGCCACACUCCCUAAAAUUUCAGGAUAACAAAUUUCUUAUCUAAAAUGUUGAUAGAAGUUGAAAAGAACAAAAUGUAUAUGAGAUAGAAGCAAAGAGGAUUAUAUCAGUGUCUCACCUUAGCAUGGCUAUCAAGAACUGGGAGUUAUCAUCAAAUGAUGCCUGAAAGAAAAAUUUGUACGAUCAAGCCAUUCUGAAACUUAUUCAGAAAUCUAUUACAUGGACAUAUAUUUUUGUAUUACCAUCUUUGAGAAUAACAAUUGAUGCUCCAUGCACAGCUGCCUAGCAAUUUCCUGAAUGAACAGCACAAAAUGGAAGACAGCACUAUCAGCAAACAAGUUGGACAAAUUCUAACCAUAUUCUAUUCACAUACAAGUCGUAUAAGCUUAUGGAUGCAAGCAUGUAUAUCAAACUAGUAACAAGAGUAGAAACCGUUGUAUCAGUGAAAGGGCAUCAAUCGAUCAGAGCUAUGCAAAAUUUCCUAUUAACUGAUCAUUUGCAUCACAGUUCAAUUAAGAAGAGUUUGUAAGUAACUCAGGAGGAGGAACUAGAGAGACAAAGAGCAAGAGAUGGAGACCUUGAAGGCGCAGUUGUCAUCAUUAUGUAUCAGCCCAUUCAAUCUGAUCUAGAGCACAAACCAAUAUUACAUCAGAAAUAUGCCUUCUUUACCAAUUCCAAAAUCGCAGAAUGGAUUACAAGAAGCAGCAUGAAAAGAACAUAGCUCUUGAACAUACCACAGAUAUCAUAUCAGGAUAUUCUUCCAAUAAAUCGUUCAGCACGAGCUCGAGCACCUGUAAUGCCAGCAAAAAAAAAUACUAAGCUUCAAGCGGGGGAAAAGAACUAAUUCUGGAAAGAUUUCCAAAGAAUAAAUCUACAUGGCUACGAAAAAAACUUAGGUGACAGAAAUAUACAGCAGUCUUUCCGGAGCCACGGGGCCCAAGAAGUAGCAGUGAGUUGUUGCAUGCUUCUGUGAUCGAACUUGAUACAAUGAACUUCAGUUUGCUGCAAAUGGAAUCAUGAGAAAUCAACAUGGAUGGAUUACAAUGUUAAGAAGAGGAAUAAUCUUAUGAAGCAUAGCAUAAUUUGUUGGAUCUAAAUGAAGACCAACACAAAAUUAACCGGAGGAGUAAUCAUCAAUCAUAAAAUUUGAACCAAUGCACCCUCUUCCUAAAUCAGUUUUUCCAACUCUACUAGAUUGAACACUAAAAAGUUAAAACUGAGCUCAAUCACAUUCAUAACACCAAUUCCAUGUAAAACGACGAAAACUUUGCAAGGGCUCAGUCAAUUAUGCUAAAUUGCUGACCCUGGAACUCAACCCUCGACUACGAAUUAGAGAGCAGCCGCCCAAUAGCCAAACAUCACAGAGUAUCCAGAUCGCACCUGUAAUUGCUAUCCGGAGAGUCGGAAAGCGCCUUGAAGACGAAAUUUGGGUUACAGAGCCUGCUCCUGAGGAGGAUUUGAGCCUCCUGAGCGUAUUUCUGGUUCGUCAUUUAUCUCGGCGGGAACUUCUAACUCUCGUCACUGGGAAUGGCGGGAAAGAACUGUCAUAUUUAUAGUGCCAAGUGGACUCUCGAGACCCAACCGAUUUGGGCCGAAGAUCCACGAAACUACCCAGCACAAGGACACAAUACACGAUAUCGUGCUAGAUAGGGCUCUACAUGGCUCUAGAUCCAACAACUUUGGGCUGAAGAUCCGUGGAACGGCCCAGCAUCACCAUACAGAUACAGCACACGAUAGUGAGGAAAUGCAGUAUCGUGCUAGAAUGCACCCUGGUCUGAAAAUAAAAUCUGAAAGAGAAAAUCAAUUAAUGGAGCUUCCAAGUUCCAACAAGGCAACAAUAGCAGCCAACCGUUGAGAUUGGUCUGAAAGAAGAAAGAAAUAUUCUCCGAUUCUUGCGGGAAAGCCAGCCAUGGGAAGCACCAGCGCUGCUCUAUUCCCUCACUUGAAGCUCAUCCAUGGCUGCUGCUCCUACAGUAAACCACUGGCGUCACAGCCGCGGCAGCGCCAAUUAAAGCCGAGCUCGCCGCAGUUCGAGAGUCUACCCACGAGGAGAGGGAGGUCGGGGUUGGGGCCUUCGACAGAUUAGCGCGCUUCGCCGCCGUGGAUGAUGGUGUCAGCGGGAAACAAGAAGAAACUUCCAGCUCUGGCGCCACGUCAGCCGUCGAAGAAAGGGCGCCUGGUAAUUAAGCUCAGUUUCAUUUUUUGAAGUGUUGAUUGAUGGAAUCUGAGUUCUUAGAAGUUAUAAAGCUGAAAGCUUGAAUGCUUGAUAGUAAGUGAUUAGUGUUGCUUGGUUGAUUGAAGCUAGUUCUUAGUAGCAGCAUAUGCAAAUGAAUUUAAACGCUUGUUAGGUAAAUCUGGACUCGAAGAUUCGCCUUAAGUGCGUAAUAAUGAUCGAAUUCGUGAUACAAUCCAGGAUUUCCUUCAGCUAAUAGUUCAGAUUCCAGUUGUUUCUGUCUGAGUGAUCAUAGGUUUCAAGAAAUUGAAUCAAAGUGUAAGAAUUGGUAUGGUUUCCUUUUCUCUAUGCAGUUGGCAUCACAAAAGCAACCUCUGAUCAAGAAACCAAAGGAAAUGCAAUCUACGACUUCCUUUAUCCCGACAAGGACCUACUUCCGGACGAUACAGAAAUGAGCUUAUUCGAUCAUCUCGAAGAGCUCCGCCAGAGGCUGUUUGUCUCUGUAUUAGCUGUUGGAGGUGCUAUUGUAGGGUGCUUUGCUUUCUCUAAAGAACUGGUUAUGAUUCUUGAAGCUCCCGUCAAGACUCAAGGCGUUCGCUUUCUGCAACUCGCUCCCGGGGAGUUCUUCUUUACGACUUUGAAGGUGUCUGGAUACUGUGGCCUUCUACUGGGGAGCCCUGUGAUUCUAUACGAGAUCAUAGCGUUUGUCCUCCCGGGUUUGACAAAGGCGGAAAGAAGAUUCUUGGGACCGAUUGUACUCGGGUCGUCUGUACUGUUCUACGCUGGAAUUGUGUUCUCUUACUUGGUACUCACUCCAGCAGCGUUGAACUUCUUUGUGAGCUAUGCUGAAGGUGCUGUUGAAUCUCUGUGGUCGAUUGAUCAGUACUUCGAGUUCGUCCUCAUCCUCAUGUUCAGCACUGGCUUGUCUUUCCAGGUAUAUAAAACUAAAAACCUCGUAGUUCCUUAAAUUUCUCUCUUUCGCAUUCGAAUUCUGAAACCUGAGCCAUCUUGAAACCAUGUUUUCAGGUUCCGGUGAUACAAAUUCUGCUCGGACAAGUUGGUUUGGUGUCAGGAGACCAGAUGUUAUCGGUCUGGAGAUAUGUCGUGGUUGGUGCAGUCGUUGCAGCAGCGGUACUCACACCAUCAACCGAUCCUCUCACUCAGAUGCUCUUAGCAGGGCCGCUGCUCGGUCUCUAUCUCGGUGGUGCAUGGGUGGUGAAGCUAAGUGGACGGUGAAUAUCUCGGCAUGAACGUAUGUAAACGCACUUUAGUGUAUAUUUGUAGUCGGAACAAAAGGGCGAAAACUUAAUGUAGAAUACAUAACAUUAGCUUGAAAGCUCGAAAAUUUGAAGGAAUAAGGUUUCUGUUUCAUAUAUCAUUCACUCUGAUACUCUGUAAUUUGGAUUCUAAAUCACUAGUGAUGGAUUCCUCUAGUUCGGUCGCCAUUACAUGAAUCAAACUCUUCAAACCGUUACAUCCCUCGACGAAAGCUUCUGAAGAGCAGUUCAUACUCUCAACCACUCCUUGGGCUUCGUCGACAUUGCUAGAUAUCUUAUCGAGAGCGGUCUUCAUGGCCGGAAACUCCUGUGGAGGGUAAAGACAAGCUCCCAAGUCCUCGAUCUGUUCUCUGAUCCCCUUGCACAACUUCAGUAACUUCUCCGGAGUAUCCACCAGCUUGACACUGUCGCUUGUAAACCGUUCCAGCUUGAUCACGCCAGCGAUGGUGCGGACUAGUUCCUUUACGAACACGAGAGUUUGGGAUACGAUCUUGGUUGCUAAUUCUGCGACUUUCAUCUCUUCGGGGGACAAGUUGUCCCCUAGAUCAUCAUCAUCAUCGCUCGAGCCACCGUCCUCUUCUUCUUGGACCGUACUUUCUGCUUCUGUUGGCUCAGGCUUCAGUUCCUUCAUCUCGCGAAGAACUGUCUUUCAUUGAAGCUGCAACACUCGUCAUUUGCGCGCCUGAAAGCUGGGUGUUCGUCGAAGGUGUCUUCUUCAAUGCUGAACAUGAUUCCCAUACUGCACCAACCAGCUUAGGCACUAAAAGCUUCAUAUCCUCGUAUCCAGAUCCUGCAAGUUAUCACUUUCAUAGAUCAAAGAAAGUAGCAAAAGACCGAAUCUCUGAGAAACAAUUAACCAACAACCAGUAUGCUCAACUUAAAGCAAAAGGAUUCUGGAAAACAAACAUUCAGUCACUGUUCUUAGAGAGAAUCAUCUCUAGCCAUUCUCAAUAGUUUCACAGGAUCAGUGUCUAAAAUUCAACAUUGAGCUAAUUGGAUUUCGAAUCCUUCUACUGAUAGCACCAAACCAAAGCUAGAAAAGAUAGAGAGUUCCAUCAUUACCGUAAGAAGAAAGAGUUUCAGUCAUGAGCUUGUUUCAAUCAACAACUCGCUUCACAGAAUCAAAGAUCAUCGAAUCAAGAGUCGGCCCGUGCCGACUCUGCUUCCAUGAGAGAUCAGAAGGAACCCUUGCAGGGCAUUGAAGUAAGCCGCCAUGUUCUCUUCAAUCGCUUUAGCUUCAAUCUUCCCGCCUCCUGUCCAGACCACCCCAACUGCAUAAACCAACAAUCAAAUCAAUUGAGCCAGACUGGAAUGAAUGAAUGAAAUCCCAUUGGAGUACGGAUGUUCGUAAUCAUACCAAUAGUAGCUUGCCAGUAGACUUGGUCGCCGAGCUUCAUCACCUCGUCCCAGCUCACUCUGUCCAGAGAAAGAGCUAGUGGUUGAUCCAACACCUGUAAGGUGUCGUUAAUGGUGCUGAGGUGGGAAGAUAGCGCUUGAUGGAGUCGAUCUUUCUCCGAUUUCGCCAUGCUUUUUGUCUUUCUUCUUCUUCUUCUUCUUCUUCUUCUUCCUCCUUCUCCAGUAAACCUUUGCCUCUGGGGUUUAUCAAGUUCAUAUCUUUACGCUCGAAACUUCUUCCUCAGUAAACACGGUUUUCAGAAUCAGACCGUUAUGCCCAACCCCAUUUUCAGUUCGAUCGAUUAAAAAAUACUCUUUAUAAACAAACACCUCUCAACUUUUCAGUUCGAUUUAUUGACUCAACUCAAUGUAAAAUGUGGAUUUAUUGUAUAAAAUAAAAUAUAAUUGUCCGAAAAAAACUGUUUUGUUGAUGGAGUUAUGUGUUGGCAACCCAAUAUCAAAAUCUUAUGUUAUUUUAUUUCAAUCCAAUAAUCGAUCACCAUAUUUUUCUAGUUCUCUUCUCAAUGGAUGGCGAAAAUCGAACCACAAUCUACUCUCUAGUCUAGCGCAUUAUCAACCACUGAACCAUCCAUUUUUAUCUUGAAUCAAGUUGGUUUGUAUUUCAAUUGAGACCAAUGAACCAUCCAUCUUUAUCUUGAUCAAUCAAGUUGGUUUGUCUUUCAAUUAAGAAUUUUUAGAUGAUCGAAAAGAAAGGUUAGUCUCACACAACCACUCAUACAAAGUGAUAAACGACUAGUAGAAAGAUGUAUCAAAUGUUCAAUUUCAUCCACCAACAAUGUCACACAUUGCGAUUCCAUACAAAUCUUCGUCGAAAAGAGGACAUUGGUGUUGUGGUUUUCUAAAAGUAACCAGUUAUAUUGGCAUGGGAAACACCAGGCACUCUGUUUUUAAAUAAAUGUACAGGCCUAAAACCUUCUGCAAUUUUCUUCAGUAUCAAUGGAUGUAAAAGACAAUCUCCCAGCAAACACAUUGCUGAACUUUAGUACAAUCGAAAGCAAAGGAAACUAACAGUUCUUAAAACUUUUAUUGCUAAUAAUAAAAGAGUUCUUCUAUUACGGCAUCAUCAAGGUUUCCUCGUUCAAAACCAAAACUUACUCUUCUUCUCGGCAUCAUCAUAUCAUUCUUACACGGUGUAAUGCUGUUGGAUGGUGUCAAUGUCCAACCCCUUGAGUUUCACCACCGACUCGACGUGGCCCUUGAGCGUCAGAAGCUCCCUAAGCCUCGCGACCUCGGCUCUUCUCUUCGCCUGCUCUGCAAUCUCGGUGAGUUCCCGGUAGCUGCUCUUCUCGUUGAAGAUUCCGCCUUGGCUACUCUCCUGCGGUGGCUGCAGUCCGUGCAGCGUCCUUUGUGCUAGCGCCCAUUGGGCCUCCCUUUCCUCUUUCCCGUAGUCUUUCUUCGUCGUGAAUGCGGUCUGUGUUGUCAUUUCAUCCCAGUGUUAGUAUCGUACCGGAAAAAAUAAUUAGCUAAUUGGUAUAUGCAGUCUGUACCUUGUUCUCUAGCAUGUUGGUCCAGGCCUUUCCGCUGAGGACGUAACGGAUGAAGAAUUUCAUGACAUCGAGCGGGAAAUAGAACACAAUGCUGUAUAACCAGACGACUCCUGCCCAUCCCCACCCGAUUCCCUGUAUCCUUGCGAACCCCCAGUUUGCAUAUACUGCUAUCAAUGUUGCAACCAGUUGAGCAACACCGAAGGCGAACAGCAGAAGUAGCCCGGGCCUCUCCAGGAAUGACCAGCUGCGAGAUCUUGUCACAAAAAUCAGCGCCUGGCUCACUAUACUCACUUGCAGGUACAGAGCGCUCAUCAUCUCAUCCUCGUUGCCCUUAAUUGGCCUCACCCCAAAUCUAUCCUGCAAUUUCCAAAGUUUGGAGCUUUUUGUUAGUUACAGAUUCAUUGGCAGCCCCAGAAUCAUAAUGUGAAAUCUCUUACUGGGAAGAAGUCGGUCUUGUGCAUGAUCCAGAAGAAUAUGACGGUCAUCAAUGCCAAGUAACUACCGAGGCCGACUCCAGUUGCAAAGAUCUCCUUAAGCUUCCAGCUAUCAGGGAGAGGCGAUGGUUUCACUCUGUCCUUGGAGAUUGUCAUGAUAGUACCUGUUACAUAUGAAUCGAUACGCUCAACAGUCGAUUCCAACCUCCAUUCUAGACAUUUAAUGAUUCGAUGAACUAAAUGUCUCACCGUCAUUAAGGAUGGCAAUGAUCAGGACCAUGAAGGGUGAGAAAUCAAACUUCCAGAUGAGAGCAAUAAGCAUGAAACCCAACUGGCAAAAGAAAUUCAUCGAAAAUCAGACAGGGCAGGUUUUUUAGCAUCAAUAAGAAUCAGAACUGGAUGAACAUAAACAAAACGUACCACUAUACGGAUUGUGAUGGACACUGCAUAUAUCUGCAAGAAGGGAGAAUAAGGUAGAGAAAUUCAUUAACUCUAAUACUGAAACCAAAAAGGGAAGGAAUUUUGUUCUCUGGAUAGAUAGCAGCAGAUGGUGCAAACUUACAGUGUAAUUCUUCAUCCUUUGGAAGAUUGCUCUGCUAGUAAGCACAGCACUAAUAAUAACACUCAAACCAGGCUCGGUAAGAACAAUGUCAGAAGCGCUUCGUGCAGCAUCUGUAGCAUCAGCAACUGCGAUACCAAUGUCUGCCUUCUUCAAAGCAGGAGCAUCAUUCACACCGUCACCAGUCAUGCCGACAAUGUGCUUCAAUUCUUGCAGUUUCUUCACUAUUUCAUAUUUGUGUUCUGGAGAGAGAUAAAGAAGAGUGUAAGUAAUCAACCAAACCAGAGAAUCUACUUAUUAUCCGGAUAAACGAAGGUCCAAUCUUACCAGGGAACACUCCAGCGAAUCCGUCAGCUUUCUCGAUCAAUUCUUCAACCGGAAUAGAGGCGAUGCUAGCAUCCUUGUGCUCGCCCAGAAGGGCAGCAGAUGGGUACAUGUUAGUUCCCAUUCCAAGUCUUCGUCCAGUUUCUUUACCAAUGGCGAGUUGAUCACCUAAAAAUCAGCAAUGCAGAGUGAAAGUGUCAAAUCCCACCAGUAGGUCAAUUCUCAGUAUAAACGAAGAAAAACGAAUGUAAUUACCAGUGAUCAUCUUGACGUUUACACCAAGGUGAAGAGCCCGACGAAUCGUUUCUGCACUGUCAUGUCUAGGCGGAUCGAAGAGAUUCAACAACCCGACAAACUCCCAGGGACCACCUGCACUUUCCUUUGAUUUCUCUGGAACCACCUGCAUAACCAACCCAUGACAUAAAUAAAGGUCAGGAGUUGUUUUGCGACAAACAACAAAAACAUGAGCCAAGAAAAUUAAUUAAAGUACCUGUCUAGCAACUCCUAGAGAUCGAAGCCCGCGUUCAGCGAACUUUUCAAUGACAGAAUGGACUUUCUUCCUCAAAUCGUCUCUGGAGUUGCACAAUUCCAGAAUCUAAUGCAUGCAAUGCAUCCAAACAUUCAGUAAGGCUUCAAUUUAAACAUUAACGUAUACUUAAAAAAAAUUUGAAGUAGAAUUCACCUGCUCAGGAGCUCCUUUACAUGCACGGUGCCAGUUACCAUCAGCAUCAAUGUAAGUGAGGGCAGUUCUUUUGUCCACGGGAUUGAACGGAAGGAAAUGGACUUCUUGAAUACCCGCUCUUGCCUCCUUGGGGUCAGCAAGCAUAUUAACCAUGGCAGCAUCAAUGGCGUCCUGGUUUUCAACUCUAGAAGCCCUGGCAGCAAGCAGUAUCACAUACUCUUUGUCUACACCUUUAGCGAACACUUCGAUCAAAUUUUUGUCGAUGCUCAGCUUGUUCAGAGUCAGGGUUCCGGUUUUAUCACUGCACAGUUUUUAUCUCUGUAAAGAACAUCCAGGCCAGCCAUCUCUUCAAUGGCAGUCAUACGCUUAGUGAUGGCUCCCUGUUCGGACAGCUUGUGGGACCCAAUAGCCAUUGUCACAGACAAGACGGUAGGCAUGGCAAUAGGGAUACCUCCAAUCAAGAGGACAAGGAGGUUAUCGAUUCCUUUCCUGUACUCGCGGUGCUGGAUCGGAUACAUGACUAUGAUCUCGAUGACCAUUCCGAUUGCUAUGGAGACGAUGCAGAAGUUACCGAUGGCAGUGAGCACCUGCUGGAAGUGUCCAACUUGGUUGGUGCUGUCCACAAGAUGGGCAGCCUUACCGAAGAAUGUAUGAACACCAGUAGCAAUAACGACAGCCUCGAGUUCUCCCUGUUUACAAGUUGAACCGGAGAAAACCUCCUGCCCUGGAUGCCUGGUCACUGGAAGUGAUUCACCUGUGAGAGCUGAUUGAUCAAUUUUUAACGGAUCACCUUCGAGAAGACGUGCGUCAGCAGGGACGAUGUCUCCCAACUUGAUGCUAAUGAUGUCUCCUGGUACGAGAAUCGCAGCUUCCUGUUCACUCCAUUUACCAUCUCGAAGUACCUAUAAAUACCAAAAGUCAAGACGUACUUUUGUCAAUGUUCCUGAUCCAAAACUAUGAUACACGUAACUAAGACAUAGGAUAAACCAAAUUUGUUUAUUUUACCUUGGUUUUAGGGGCAAGACCAGCCAUGAGAGCAGCAGCAGCGUUACCUGCGUUGUUCUCUUCAAUGAAACUAAUGGUGGAGUUGAUAACCAACAAGCAGACAAUACCAACAAAGUCCUGCCAAUCCGGCGGCUUUCCAACACAGUCAGGCACGGACANNNNNNNNNNNNNNNNNNNNNNNNNNNNNNNNNNNNNNNNNNNNNNNNNNNNNNNNNNNNNNNNNNNNNNNNNNNNNNNNNNNNNNNNNNNNNNNNNNNNNNNNNNNNNNNNNNNNNNNNNNNNNNNNNNNNNNNNNNNNNNNNNNNNNNNNNNNNNNNNNNNNNNNNNNNNNNNNNNNNNNNNNNNNNNNNNNNNNNNNNNNNNNNNNNNNNNNNNNNNNNNNNNNNNNNNNNNNNNNNNNNNNNNNNNNNNNNNNNNNNNNNNNNNNNNNNNNNNNNNNNNNNNNNNNNNNNNNNNNNNNNNNNNNNNNNNNNNNNNNNNNNNNNNNNNNNNNNNNNNNNNNNNNNACCGCAAGUGGUGGUGGUGGUAGGGGUGGGGACAGCGCACCACCGGCUAAACGACCUUAUUGGUCUUUAGUGGGCAUGUGGCCACUAAUGGCGUAGAGAAGCCACAUGAUCCGCCGGAAUAAAAGUUUUAAAAAGCAGAAACGAAUGAAAUUGCAGAAGUAAGGUAAGGAAAGGUCAAAUCUUUUCUUUAAUGGUACUAUUUUCCACCCACCCUGAGAGACGUGCUGCGAUUUUUUUUCAUCAACCAUGGAAAAAAGGGAAAUUUAAAUAAAAUAAGAGAUAAAAAGAAAGUUAAAUCAAACCGAAAUGGCAGGAUCGGUAAAAUUGUGGAUUUGUUAAACCUUUUUCUGUGCAGUAAAAAGGUAGGUACUUGGUAAAAGCACGGAAGAUAAUUCAAAGCUACUGUUUGGAUCAUCAACAGGUUUUCCAGUAGUUUGAAAUUCAAAAAAACUCAAACUCAGCUGGCGAAUUCAUCACUAACAUAAGCUAACAAAAUCGGAAAAAGUAGAAUAAAAAACCCAAAUCAGAGAAUCAAAAAGGAGCUAGGUUUGAGCUAUAGAGAUGGGAAUUGAGUAGAUCUAACGAUUAGGUCAAACGGAAUUGAUCGAAGAGAGGAUUUUACCAGAUCCACAGUCUCAUUUUUUAUGUCCUCGAGACUGGAGUUGUUCGCCAUGGUGGUGAAGAGGAAGAGAGGGAAUCAACGGCUAACUCAGCAGCUGGGAAUUGAUCAGAGGGUGGAUGAUGAAGGUGAUUCAGAGGCGGCGGGAGGCCAUUGAAGAACCGGAAAUCUCGGAGGCGGAGCAGAGCCGCAAAGGAAGCAGGGUGGAGAAAACAAAAAGAUGAGGAGGAGACUUCUCGCAGCGCCUGUCUAUUUAUAAUAAAACAAGAGUACAUAAAUGGUCCUCUAGUUUUGGACUUUUUGCAUAGUGGUCACCAAGUGGAUCGGUAUUUUAACUUUUU